rnacentral:lncRNA from 1 species
GCUUUGCUGCCUGCAGAGGCUUCUCUGGACGCUUCAUCCCUUCGGCAAUUUGGAUAGGCACCUUGUUACGAAGCGACUUGGUGAUUCUCUCUAGCCCUUUGCCCUUUCUAGGUCUAGUCUUGGCAGUCAUUGCAUCUGAAAAUGAAAUUGAACUCCUAAAUUAGAAUAGAAAUCGACAAAUGCAGGAAUCGACAAAAGCAUACAUGAUCAUUCCAUUUGGAAAAUGCACUAGUAAAAGAUAGCAUUGCAAAGGUCAACUUGCCUGAUUGAAGCACAAGCUGCUGCUCUUCUUCAUUGAUGACAACAUUCCUGUCAAUAGAAGGCGCAACAGGGCUGAGGUCUGUGUGGACAGUGCCUGCUUCAUCAAUGUAGAUAGUUCCUCUUUCAUCUAGGAAGACAGUGCCACUUCCAUGCAUGCUGAGAGUGGUUCCUUCAUCCAUGGGCGGCAACUCACCACCCAUUUGCACCGAAGUCUCAGAGUCCAUGCGCAGCAGACUUUCCUGAUGGUCCGUCGCAGUCGCCAUCUUUGCUUUCUGCCUUGUGACUCUGUCAGGGGCAGGUUCAUCAGGUUCCAGGAUCCUCUUUUUUGUCCUGGAGCUAGGGCCAUCACCCUUCCUGGACACAUUGCAGCAGAUGUUUCUGAGGUCUUCUUCUUCUUGGUGACUGUCUUCUUAACACCAGGCCUAUUCAUCCUAGAUUCCUUCAGUGCCUCGUAUAAACAGCACGGACAAAAGCAUUAGAUCACAAGAGAAAUAUGUGAGCACAAGGAAACACAUAGCAUAAAAGAACCCCAACCCUCCAAGCAAGACAGAGUUUGCACCUUAACAGCCUUGUUCACUACGACAUCAUCCACUUCCUCUCCAUCAAUAACUUCAUCCUCCUUAGGAUUGUACUCUGGGUCAUCAUUGAUAACUCCACUACCUUCUUGAACCUCAUCACUUCUACCUUCUUGUACACCUUUUGUUUUCCUAAUCAUCGACGCUAUUGCACCGAUGCCAAGGGACUAGAACAUCCGAUUGUUUCUCAUGACAUUUCUAGCCCUAACCUUCUCGUACUCGGUGAGAGGCUCUUCUUUGCAUGAUAAAGGAAACCUAACUAUUAGGUGAAUGUUUGGAAUGCAUGGACAGACAGCCAAACAUAUCUUCUGAAAUUUUAUUAUCAUUUAAUCCUAGUUAUUCAGGUAAGGAAGACUAACAGCACACAUGCACAAUUAAGCCAGCUUAUUCAGAUUGUAGCAAUACAUUUCACUUAGCAUAUUAAGACACGGAUUUUAUGAAACUGACAGUAUAACCACAAGGAGCAAGUUGCAUACCAACGGUUGGCCUGAUAUUUGACCUUGUCCUCCUUGCCAUGGAUGAUCUUGAGGUGGUGCUUGCAAAAUAGAAUAAACAACAAUCAGAUACAACAGGGAUAAAAUAAAAUGAUGCACUUGUAUCAAUAAAGGAAAGCAUUUGGACCAUCAUGCACAUACAUGUAAUACAUGUGAAACAAACUUGAUGGAUCAACAAUACAGUGAUCUAGUGUUAUUAAUUAAGCAAACAUGUAAGUGCACUAAACAAGCAUGCAUGUACACUGGAAAGAUAUGAAGCAUCUCUUAAUAUCUUCACUACAUCAAGCAGGAGGUAGUAAUGUACAUCAAGAAAUCUUCCUAGUGCCUCAUAUAAAGUACACAACAAGCAAGCAAAGUGCUAGUAGUACUGCUGAUGCAAACCCUAACCCUAUGUAUGCUACCAAGCAACUAAAUUGACGCAAACUAUAUAUGUGAAGCAAUGCAUUAGCAGUAAUAUAUGUGAAGCAAACUACAUCAAGCUAAGUGAAUUAAGGUUGUGGUACCAGAGACAAGAACAUAACUCACCUGUAUUACAAUUAUAUAUAGUUGUAUACAAAUACAGUGCACACGAAUUAUACUUCAGCAAUGUGGAUUAGCAAAAACAACUAUUUACAACAAUUACUUUUAUGUUUUAACUUGCAAUUUUAUCCAUGUACCUGCAAUCAUCUAUAAGCAAAUGAAUUACUCAACUGUUUUCCCUAAUGGAAGCAAGCUUAUGCAUCCAGAGCAACUGAUUGCCCAACAGUUGAUGAAUAAAGAAGCAAGCAGUGUUAACAAUAAUACUAGGCCUUGAAAUCAUGCUUAUGCAGGCAAUUUAGAAGAGUAUAUCAUGAGGACCUUCAAAAUAACUAGUUUUUACCACAGGUAAAGCAUGAAACAACUAUACUUGCAGAAGUACAAAAGUAGAUGAAAUAACUAUACUCAACUAUUGAUUAUGUUUCCUCUACACACCAAACAUGGCUACAGACUAGAAGAACACAAAUUUAGACAUUUCGACAAUUAGAAUCAACCUUGUAUAUUACAGCACCCAAAAUUAUCUAGCACCAAUAUAGUACAUAUUAAAACUAGUCAUAUUGCCUUAACACACCAGGAAUUCCAAUACCACAAUAAGUACUAAGCAUUCUCUUGUUCACUGGAAAGAAGAACACAAGCUUCAUGCACAUAUCAUAAAAGAAGAACACUGCUACAAACCCCAUGGGCACAUCAUAAAAGAAGUCUUCUACUUGAACAAUCAGGAUGGGCUGCUGGUACAGCAGUGAUAUAUCAAUCAGGAAAGAUAUGAAGCAUCCCUUAAAAUCUUGACUACAUAAAGCAGGGGGUAGCAAUGUACAUAACUCAACUAAGUUAAUUGGUGUCAUUACAUAAAAGUAGCACAAAGUAACAAACUAACACAUCUAGCCAAUCAAUAGAAUAAAGCUCACAUGAAUGGCAGAUGGACUUAAACAUUUAGUAAUGAACACCAUGAAUUAACUAGACCAACCCAGAGAGCAUAUAUCACACCUACAUGAACUACUCUAGUAGUACAGUGAGCAGAAAGCUUUCUAUAUGAACAAUAGAGUCCCAUAGGAAGCAACGAGAGAUCAGCACUGCCACUGACCAAUUUAGCAAACCCAGGAACAUAGCUAUGGAACUAGAUCAUCCAUAUGUAAACCAAAGCAUGGCAGGAGCUCAUAGGAUAGAAACCAAACAUGAAUGGGAACCUACAAACCCUAGAUAGCAUGGGAACAACAACUACAGAGCUUUAGAUUUAGUGGUGACCAUAAUCAAGAACAAAUAACAGGAUUGGCAGCAGAGGGAGAGGGAGAUGGAGAUGGACAAAAACCUGAUUUUGUGGUACCCGUGCUUGAGCUCCUCCUCCUGAUGCUGCUCAAUGACCUGCAUGACAAACAAGGCCAUGGAUGAGCUGCCACAGGGCAUCCACAUGACAACGCAAAACAUCAAGCAACGACAUUGACAGGGAUGCAAAAUCAAAAUAGAGAAUACAAAAUCUAGAAUAAAGAACCACCUCCCCGCAAAACCCCAACCCCAUGAAUCCAUCCCCAUCUCAAAAUCAGAUGACCAAUGACAUGAACCCUAACCCCGUGAACAAGAAGGGUAUCAUCCCAUGAAUCCUAACCCCAUGAAUCCAUCCCCAUCCCCAUCCCCAUGAAGAAGAACCCUAACCACAAGGAGAUCCUAACCCUAACCAUCAGGAGAUCCUGACCCUAGAAGAUGCACCAUGAGAUCCGCCGAACCACCAGAAGAUCAUAACCCAUGAGAUCCACCGAACCACUAGAAGAUCCUAACCAGAGGGAGAUCCUAACCCUAGAACAUCGAGGGGAGUACAUUUCGUCAUGUUGUAGAUGAUGCAGCGGUGGCUCCUAUUGCGGUUGUCGCUCACGUCUACCCUCUUGUCGCCACCGUCAUCAAUGUAGAGGAGCGGAGCGGCGAUUCAUCGUCGGGGAGCAAAGCGGGGCGGGGCGGAGCAGAGGAGGAGGGGAUAGGGUUGUGGGGGUGGGAGGGGGUAUUCGUCGGGGCUGGGAGGUGGAGAAUGGAGGGGCGGAGCAGAGGACANNNNNNNNNNNNNNNNNNNNNNNNNNNNNNNNNNNNNNNNNNNNNNNNNNNNNNNNNNNNNNNNNNNNNNNNNNNNNNNNNNNNNNNNNNNNNNNNNNNNNNNNNNNNNNNNNNNNNNNNNNNNNNNNNNNNNNNNNNNNNNNNNNNNNNNNNNNNNNNNNNNNNNNNNNNNNNNNNNNNNNNNNNNNNNNNNNNNNNNNNNNNNNNNNNNNNNNNNNNNNNNNNNNNNNNNNNNNNNNNNNNNNNNNNNNNNNNNNNNNNNNNNNNNNNNNNNNNNNNNNNNNNNNNNNNNNNNNCAGGGAGGGAGAAGCUAGGGUUCGUCAGGGAGAGGGGAGGGGAAUGGGGAAUUUUUGGGAGGGGAGGGGAGGGGAUCCCGCGUGUUAGUGGGGGAGGGAGUGGUGGGACCCACCUGGUAGUGGGAGAGGGAGUGGAGGGAAAUUUUUGGAGAGGGAAAUUUUGGUGGAGGGAAAAUUUUGGUGUGGGAGGCAAAUUCUUUUAGGUUUGGGGGUAGAAAAAAUUACGGUUUUUUUGUAAACUUUGUAGAAAUCAUGGUUAAAAUCAUACCGAGUGGCUCAAGAAAAUGUCGGUAUUGCAAGUUUAGUAUUUUUGCUAGUUGGUAGGCCACAUUUGAUGAUGUGACGCGGAGGUCUCCCUUUUUUGAUUUUUUUUGAAUUUUUUAUGGUGUUUUCAAAAACCGGCCGAUUUCGUCGCGGCGGCUGUCUGUGGCUAGGGUUUGAGCCGUGCAAAUUUGUUGUCGAUUCUGUGAUGAAAUGCCUACCUAUGAAGCUAAAAAGGAUUUUUUGUGAAAACAACGGGCUAGCUAUGGAGGACCCGCAGUUCAAAUUCCAGCCGGUUCCAGCUAAAUUGGCCGAAGGUGGUCUAAAUUGCGGGGAGUAGCUACGAGUGUUGGAAAUGCAUGCAUUUUGGCGAUCGUCCGUAAAAUAGGAUCUACUUUGAGAUAGACAUGGAAUGGCACCGUUUGGGGUGACACUCCUUGUAGCCGCUUCACGAAAAACGCAUGUCGUUAGCAUUCAAAAAAUGAAAAAUGGUUUUUUGUUAAACAAUUUGGAACCUCGCUUUGGCAAUAUUGUUUGCCAUCACAAGACGGAGGCAUGCGCCAAAUUUGGGCAUAUUAUCAAAAACUAUUCAACGGAUGCGGCCAUAUCAUUGCUAGUUUGGCUUGAAAUCCAUGAAUCUUCGUUCAUGGUAGGUCGUUUUUUAGAACACUUUUUCAAGAAAACGCUGGUAUUGCAAGUUUAGUAUUUUUGCUAGUUGGUAGGCCACAUUUGAUGAUGUGAUGCGGAGGUCUCCCAUUUUUUUGAUUUUUUUGAAAUUUUUACGGUGUUUUCAAAAACCGGUCGAUUUCUUCGCGGCGGCCGUCUGUGGCUAGGGUUUGAGCCGUGCAAAUCUGUUGUCGAUUCUGUGAUGAAAUACCUACCUGUGAAGCUAAAAAGGAUUUUUAGUGAAAAUAACGAGCAAGCUAUGGAGGACCCAUAGUUCAAAUUCCAGCCGGUUCCAACUGAAUCGGCCGAAGGUGGUCUGAAUUGCCGGGAGUAGCUACGAUGGUCGAAAAUGCAUGCUUUUUGGUGAUCGUCCGUAAAAUAGGGUCUACUUUGAGAUAGACAUGGAAUGGCGCCGUUUGGGAUGACCCUCCUUGUAGCUGCUUCACGAAAAACGCAUGUCUUUAGCAUUCAAAAAAUCGAAAACGGUUUUAUUGUUAAACAAGUUGGAACCUCGCUUUGGCAACAUUGUUUGCCAUCACAAGAUGGAGGAAUGCACAAAAUUUGGACAUAUUAUCAAAAACUAUUCAACGGAUGCGGCCAUAUCAUUGCUAGUUUGGCUUGAAAGCCAUGAAUAUUCGUUCAUGGUAGGUCGUUUUUGAGAACACUUUUUCAAGAAAAUGUCGGUAUUGCAAGUUUAGUAUUUUUGCUAGUUGGUAGGCACAUUUGAUGAUGUGAUGCGGAGGUCUCCCAUUUUUUAUUUUUUUUAAAUUUUUAUGGUGUUUUCAAAAACCGGCCGAUUUCGUCGCGGCGGCCGUCUGUGGCUAGGGUUUGAGCCGUGCAAAUCUCUUGUUGAUUCUGUGAUGAAAUACCUACCUGUGAAGCUAAAAAGGUUUUUUAGUGAAAAUACGGGCAAGCUAUGGAGGACCCACAGUUCAAAUUCCAGCCGGUUCCAGCUGAAUCGGCUGAAGGUGGUCUGAAUUGCCGGGAGUAGCUACGAGGGUUGGAAAUGCAUGCUUUUUGGCGAUCGUCCGUAAAAUAGGGUAUACUUUGAGAUAGACAUGGAAUGGCACCGUUUGGGGUGACCCUCCUUGUAGCCGCUUCACGAAAAACGCAUGUCUUUAGCAUUCAAAAAAUGAAAAACGGUUUUCAAAUUUUUUAUGCUAGGGUUUGAGUCAUGUUUUUAGCAUUCAAAAAAUGAAACUUAUAUUGUUUCAUACAUGAGCAUGCACAAAAACCCAUAAUUUUAUCUUUCAUCCAUGAGCAUGCAUAAAAAAUUUCAAUUCCCAUCAAUUACCAAACUGAAUAUUCAUUAUUAAGAAAUUGACAUGUUUAGAUGACACUGUCAUACAGCAUCCAUGAGCAUGCACAAAAUUAAACCUGACAUACUUAACAUUGACAUGUUCAGAUUAUAGUAACAAGCUUAAACCUAACAUGCUCAACAUUGCCACUUCAUUUCUUAACAACUUCACUCCUCCUUCUUCUCCUUCAUCAACCUGAUGCGCUCAGAGUGCCGAAUCCCAACGCGGAUGUACUCCUCUACCACAAUUGGCAUGGUCCUAUCGCCAAGCUGUGGGAUUGCAGGCGCCACCACCAUCGCGAGGCCGUCGUCAGCCACCAUACUAAGGUCAUUGUCCGCCACCACCAUAGCAAGGUCGUCGUCCGCCACCACCAUAACAAGGUCGUCGUCCGCCACCACCAUAGCAAGGUCGUCAUCCGCCACCACCAUAGCAAGGUCAUCGUCAGCCACCAUCAUAGCAUGGUCGUCGUCAGCCAGAAUAGGCUGCUCCUCGUCAUCCCCGCUUUGCUCCUCGUCAUCCCCGCUGCUGCUCCCAUUGCCUUUCCAAAUGCAACAAAGUGUGAACAUGGUGUUGUCGUCGUGCAGGUAGAGGAAGCCAAAAGGACAGGAAGAAGAGAGGCAGAGAUCUUACUGGCAUCGUCGCCGUGCUGGUAGUACAUGCGGCACAUGGUGUUGUCGAACAUCUUCACAAUGACAUGGCGUCGCCGUCGUAGCGGAAGACAAGGAAGUACCCGAGCUGUAGCUCAUGGGCGCGGGCGAAAUGCUCCCAGCCAUGCCCUAGGUACAUGUGGCCUUCACCAUCGAACACCACCAACACGUCCCACGGCCUGCGAAGCCCGCUGCCAGCCUCCCACAACUUCACUUUGUGGGGCUCACGACCGGCGAGCAUCUUCGCAAACUUGUCAGGCAUCCUCUGCAGCGAGGGUCAAGCAGUGGUUAAUUGUGGCAAUCAAGCACUAGACAGCAGGGUGAUGAUAAAGAAAUGAGUGAUGAUAAAUAUACCUGCCUACUGCAAGAUUUCUCAAUUACGAUCUCGAAGAACUCGAAACCUUCCAAGCCAGCCAUCUCACUUCUCUGAAAAGCACCAUUGUAAACUAAACAACAAGACUGGACAUAAAUAGGAAACAAGCACUUCAAAACAGUAGAAUAAUUACUACAUGUGUUUGCUAGGGCCUCAAUUUGGAAUACUACUAUAAAUGGCAAUGGCCUCAAUUUUCUCCUACUAUAAACAAGCACAUCAACAUCAAUAGCAUAGUAAACUAACACAGCAACAACAACAUCAUCAGGUGACCACCAACAGCAACAACAGUAAAAUCUACUAUAAAUUGACCAGAACACAGCAAUAUAAAUUGACCAGAACCAUAUGUACUAUAAAUUGACCAGAACCAUAUCUAUUAUAAAUGGACGAAUAGUGUACAGUAAAACAACAGUUUCAAUAUUACAAUAGAAAGAAGCCUCAGGUUUAUCAAGCACAGCAAAACAACAGUGUGACUGAAGAAAAUUAUAGCAGGAAAUACUUCAUGCAUCAUCAAGAGAUUAUGAUCAUUUCUGACACUGGCCUUUCUCAACCUUUUGAGCUAGCAUGAUCACAUUACAUGAUGCACACAUAUGCAAACUUCUAUGAAUAUAACAUCAAAACAGAAAAAACAAGAGACCAAGAAAAUCUUAGCAGUGCAAACACCUAGAUAGAAUUGUAUUUGUACACAUUAGAACAUAAGCACCAACAUAGCAGUGCUUAGCAUGAUCACAUUGUAUUUGUACACCUACAUAGCAGUGCUUAGCCACUCGGGUAAAACAUUACAAAAAUAAAAACAAAUUCGAACACACUAGUGUCUCACUGCCUCAUAAUGCUCAUACUUGCUGCAUAUCAAAUAGCAUGGAACAUUCUACAGCUCAUACCAAGUGUCUCAUACAUCUGUACUUAUCUAAUUCCUUAACUGAAUCAAUUCUCACUCUUAUCAAAAGGCACAAAGCAUACUUGACAGCAUAAUCCUUAACUGAAUCAGUCCCACUAAUCAAACCCUAAUCUAAUCCAACCCUAAUCUAAUCUAAUGCAGUCCCAAUCAAACCCUAACCAAAUCAAACCCUAAUCUAAUCCAAUCCCUAUCUAAUCUAAUCCAAUCUAGGCGACGGCAAGAACCCUAAUCUAACCAAUAGCAGAAAACUAAUCUAACCAGGAAGGAGAGAGAGAGGAAGGAUUCAUACCUCGGGAGAGAGAGAGGAAGGAGUCGGCGGCGGUGGGAGAGGAAGGAGUCGGCAGCGGUGGGAGAGGAAGGAGCCGGCGGCGGUGGGGAGGCCGGCGGUGGGAGAGGAAGGAGCCAGCAGUGGUGGGCGACGCUGUUGAUAGAGAGGAGGAGCGGGUCGAGUGGUAAGGAGAAGUGGGGAAAAGAGAGGGAGCGGGUCCACUUAUCAGCGAGUUUUGUGUUUUCUACUUGACUGGUUUGAUAUAUUGAAAAGAGUGGGCAUAGAUUACAAAACCAACAGCCUCUUCCUAGCCCAGUGGUCGAAACAUAGUGAAAUAAGUGCCAGGUCAUGGGUUCAAGCCCCCGCGCACGCAUAUUUUUUGGCCACGCGCGUAUUUUUGGUAGUUUGGGUACAAUAGCAAAAUGGCCCACUUGUCAGCGAGUGGGUCGAGUGUCCCACUUGUCAGUGAGGUGUGUGCUUGAUACUUGACUAGUUUGAUAUAUUGAAAAGGGUUGGCAUAGAGUGGAAGACUAGUAGUCUCUUCCUAGCCUAGUGGUAGAAACAUAGUGAAACAAGCGCACGGUCGUGGGUUCGAGUCCCCGCUCGCGCAUAUUUUUUUGCUCACAAUGAAAUAAAAUAGCAUCUUCAGUUCACCAAAAACAGCAUCACAUCACAACCAAAAACUACAUCAGUAUAUUCAUCACAUCAUUUGGCAUUGUAUCUUCACCAUCUGCUACAACCUUAAGUCUCAUUCCGUGAAGAAAUUUUAUUCAUUUUUGCCCAGAUAUCGAAAAUGCACAACAAGUGUUUUGCAUCCAAAAUUCUUACAAAAUACUACAACCAUCAGGAUCACAUCAAAUGCUUACACAAGGAAAUCAAAUGUUUUGCAUUUUGCAUCAAAUACUACAACCAACAUUUUGUCACAGGAUCGCACCACUACAGCCAUCAGGAUCUUCAAGCAUUUUGCUACCUGGAGAUAAUUGUAGUACAUCAGGAUCACCAUGCAUAUGCACAAGAAGGAAAACUACAGAGAGUUAGAAGGAUCACCAAGGAGACCAAAUUUACCUUCAUGUCCGUUCGCUACUCAUCGUCGUCGAUAUGAAAACAAGGAACUCUAUGCCCACUCCUAUUUUCCUCAUCAUCACUACAAUAUUGCAGCAUAGUAUGAUCAGUCGGUUUUCCUCAUCCUCGUUCUCAUGUCCAUCCGCUACCACCUUUCUUCUUUUCUUGAUGCCUUCAACUGUUGCAGCACCAACGAUCACACGUUCCCGGUCCCUUCGCACUCUGCUUUGCACUAGAACUUCCAUAGAGUCAUCAUCAGCUUGCAACGGAACUUCCGUAGAGUCAUCAUCUUGGUAUGUUAGUCCACCAUCACCGGGGCCCUUUUCCACUUCAGUUUCAGUCACACUCCACAAGUGUCUGUGCUCAAAGUUUUGCACAACUCGCCAUUUUCCGUGCAAAAGAGUGUCUGGAAGAUAAAACACCAUUGUUGCUUGUGUUGUUAGAAUAAAGGGAUCACUCUUAUACCAGCACCUUGCAGUGUUGAUGCUUUUGAAGUGGCCAUCAUAUUUGACAAAAUAGUCUCUCUUCUUUUUGCUACCAAGCUCAAACCAGUCACAGCGAAAUAAGACAAGCGAGCGAUGGAUGCCUCCACUACAGUUGUACUGCAACUCUACGAUGCUUCUCAACUGACCAUAGAAGUCAAUGAUCUCAUGAUCAUGUGACCCCUCAGCGACGAUUCCACUAUUCUGUGUCUUCCUUUUUUCCUUGCGGUCAAUAGUGUGGUAUCGGACACCGUCAAAAAUGCAUGUUGAAUACACUCUCACUCGCUUAUCUAGUAAGCAUGCCAAAGCAAAUAGAUCAUCACUGACCUUCUUCUCCUCAUGCAACUUUCCAAUCUACACAAAUAAACCAUUUAGUAAACAAUGGUAUUUAACAAUUGGUGAAUAACAUAGAAAACAUCAAACAUGUGGCUAAAGAUCUCACAUGAUUCUUAAACCAAUUAGCAAACCCCUUGGCAACCCUUUUAUCAACAUGGAUAUUUCUUUCUUCCUGAUUUAAGUCUUCAUUGCAUUUCCUGCAAUGCAAACAGAACAUGUGAAUUAAAACAUUAGGCUGGUGCCAACCCAAGCAAAAAAAUUAUAUAUAAUGAGUGCACAAGAUAUAACAUACUCGAUAUAUGGUAGAACCUCAGCGAAAUUGCUGAGCACAUACCAAACCAUCUUGUCAUACUCAUCACCAGCCUCCAAGUAUUGUGAGGCUCCAAGAAAGUUCACACCAUGGUUGAAAAUAGAGACAUCACCACUUUGCGAAUCAGACCACUCUCUAUUUUUGCCCGGUCGGUUCCAUCUUGUUUCCACAUCGCCAAAGUAUCUAGAGAAAAAAGUCAAGCACUCGUCAACGACAUAUGCUUCAGCAAUAGAACCUUCAGGUCUUGUCGUGUUUCGCACAUAAUGCUUACAAGUAAGCAGCCUUCUUUCGAUUGGGUACAUCCAACCGUAUUGCACAGGGCCUCUAAGCAUUGCCUCUAUUGGUAAAUGCACCACCAAAUGGACCAUCACGAUGAAGAAAGCUGGAGAGAAAAUCUUCUCGAGCUUGCAAAGAAUAAUUGGGAUUUCUUUUUCAAGUCUUUCCAGGAUAGUUAACUUGAGGUUUUGCAGCACAGUUCUCUAAAGAAAUUUCCCAGCUCAGCAACCGCUUCAUAUAUAUCCUUGUCCAUGAUUCCUCGGAGGCCCGCCGGUAAAAUCCUUUGGAGGAGGAUGUGACAAUCAUGGGUUUUCAGUACUGAAAGCUUGAAUCCAUCAUAAGUAAUAAACUUUGCUAUGUUAGCAGCAUAACCAUCUGGAAAUUUCACCGCUCUUAGGAAUUCACAGAAUGCAAGCUUUUGUUCUUUACUCAUUGUAUACCAUGAUCGUGGCAUUUCAAAUGAAUCUUCAUCUUCAUUGUGCUGUAGAUGCAAAUCUUCUCUUAUGCCCAUGUCCUCCAAAUCAAGCCUGGAACUAACCGUGUCCUUUGUCUUCCCUUCAAUGUUCGGAAACGUCCCUAGCAGAUUCUCGCAUAUGUUUUUCUCAAUGUGCAUUACAUCGAGAUUAUGCCUUAAUUUCAGAUCAUCCCAGUAUGGCAGGUCACACUAACAAGACCUCCGGUCCCAACAUUGACCUUCCUCAUGCUUUAUUUUCUUCGCAAGCUUUCCUGGUCUCACAUCUUUCACCUUUUCAAGUUGCUGCUCCAGCUCUUCUUUAGUGAAUUCAGCUGGCUUGUCACGGGUUUCAUUCUCACCAUUAAAAUCUUUGCUUCUUCGCCAGCGAUGGUUUCGGGGAAGAAAGCGGCGGUGCCCAAUAUAUCAGAUCUUGCUCCUUAUUCUCUUUGAGCAAGGGUGUUUGUCAUAAUGGACACAAGCCUGAUAACCCGCUGUGAUCCUCCCAGACAGAGUGUGCAGAGUUAGGAAAUCAUGGAUGGACCAUAUGAUUGUAGCACAUAGAUUGAACUUUUCUUCCGGACUCAAGGCAUCGUAUGUAUGUAAACCAGUCCAGAAUUGGCGCAGUUCUUCUACGAGGGGCUCCAUAAAGACAUCAAAAUCCUUUCCUGGAGACUCUGGACCCAGGAUAAGCAAUGACAUCAUGAAGUUGGACUGAUCCAUGCAUGCCCAUGAUGGUAGGUUGUACGGCACCACAAAAACUGGCCACAUGCUAUAAGAUGUGCUCAUGUUCCCAAACGGAUUAAACCCAUCUGUGUCAAUGCCAAGUUUUAUGUUCCUUGAAUCUGCAGCAAAAUCUAAAUGUAUACGGUCAAACUCUUUCCAUGCCUCUUCGUCUGCUGGAUGGCUCAGCUCAUUGUCCACAGGUUGCCGCUUCAGCUUGUGCCACUGUACCUCACAUGAUGAUUUCUUCGAGAUGAACAUCCACUGCAGCCUUGGUAUCAACAGAAAGUGCCUCAGUACCUUCUCCGGUAUUGACUUCUUCCCAUCAGCAUCUUUCCACCUAGAGGCAUUGCAUUUUGGACAGUUGUCAUGCUUUGCUAAAUCCUUCCGAAACAAGACAUAUUUAUUUGGGCACACAUGUAUUAACACAUAACCUAACCCCAGCCUACGGAUUAUGCUCAAUGCUUCAUCAUAAGACCUGGGAACACAACUAUCAGGGAAUUGCAAGCUCAAAAGGUGGAGUAUUGCCUUGAAUGCGGCAUUGCUAAUCCGGUAGAAAGACUUGAUGUGGAGUAACUUCACAGUGAAGGUAAAUCUUGAAAAUUUACCCCCUUCACGAGCUGCGCGCUUCGCCUCCUCUAACACCUAAGCAAACAACGACUUCUGUCCAUCAGCACGAUCUUCAACAUCGUACAAAUCCUUCAAUAGGUCAGGAAUCCUAUCAUCUUCAUGCCCAUCCUCUUCCUCCAAAACAACAUUAUCUCGCAAAACCUUUUCCAUGAAAUCAAUGCCAGCAUCACCACCACCCAUCAUAUGAGGGGCCUCUGUAUCAUCUUCAAAAUGUUGAGGUUGUCUGUCUAAAGGUUCUCCAUGAUAUAUCCAUCUAUCAUAUGUGUUGGACAUCCCAUUAAGAAGCAGCUGAUCUUCCACUCUUCCUUGAGCCAUUCUUGAACGGUUGAGGCAUUCGCAGCAUGGGCAAAGAAUGUGAGCAUCGUUGGCAAAAUUUGUCCGAACAAAUGCCAUGAAAUCAUCAACUCCUUUCAUAUGUUCUUUCGAAAACUUUCUAACUCCUUUUCUAAUCCAGCUUCUAUCCAUCUGCCAAAGACAACAAAUUGUUGCAACUUAGCAAAUCAGUCUAAGUGCAUCAACAUUAAUUAAUGAAAAUGGAUGGAAGUAAUGGAAGCUAAAAUUCCAGAAAAUUUUAUAUGCUAAUUGCCUAACCACAACAUUGAAACAAACCAAACUAUAAAUCAAAUCAACACUAAAAUUGGCAUGAAUUUAUGUUGCAGAGAAGGCUAAUUCAAAUUAAACCAAACCAAGAUUUAGAAGGAUCAUGUUUCUAUCAAGUACAAUUACUAUGCUAUUUAUGUUGCAGAGAAGACCAAGCUAGCUAGCUCCUAACAAAUACUAUGUUGUUUCUAUCAAUUACAAUUACUAUUAUCCUAACAAUCUGUAGACAAACAAUUGAAGAACAACUGAGGCCAUCUAGCUCAAAUUACCCCCAAAUCUUAAAAGAACAAGGCCUGAAGAAUUCUUAACAAACAAGCUGAAGAACUCCUAACAGUGCAUCAAGAAAAUUCAUCUAUGUAAUAUCUACCAAACAAGCAAGCUAUCUCCUAACUCCUAACAGUGCAUCAACAAAAUUCAUCUAUGCUGAAGAACAUCUGACUGAAAUCCAUCUCCCACUGAAAUCCAUGCUCGGUGACGAGGUGCAGAUAGCAAGAGAGGAGAGGGGGGAAGAGGUGAGGGGUGCAUACCGGGAGGUGUGCUUGCGACGGCGGCGAGUCCCCCAUGCUCGGUGUGCCUCUCCUUGCGUCGGUCGCCCAUGCCCCCGCUGGUCGCUUCGCCUCCACGCCCCUGCCUCGCCUCCGCCCCCUGCUGGUUGCCUUCGCUGCCGGCCCCGCCCCCGCCUCCGCCCCUGCUGGUUGCUUCCACCGCGAGGCCGUGGGCGAGGUCACCUGCGGCGAGGUCGUGGGCAAGGCGAGCGACCCCUACUGGUUGCUUCGGCCGCCAGCCCCACCCGCUGGCCGCCCGCCCGCCGGCCGCCGCCCGCCGCCCCACCCUCCUUCGAGCACCCCCUAUUGGUUGCUUCCGCCGCCGCCCGCCGCUACCUAGUCGGAAGAACUAGAAAAACAGAGGGAUUGUUUCUCUGUUCAAUGCCACCCGCCGGCACCUGGUUGGAAGGCCCCACUUGUCACUGAUACGAGAGAGUCGUGGUUUUGUAUAGUAUAUAGAAAACUACCCACACAUUAGCAACAAUCCCUCUCUAGCCCAGCGGUAGCAAGCGAGCGAAGCAAGCAUGAGGUCGUGGGUUGGAGUCCCGCUUCGCGCAUCUUUUUUGGGCGAAUUAAGCGCUCGGCGCCACCUGUCAAAUGGUUCCUGCAUGUCAGUGUGUGCCCCGUGUUGUUGAAUAUUAACAUUUAAGCAAAAAUGACACCUAGACAGUGACACAUAAGCGAGGUUGCUGAGGUGGCUGCCUAAUCAUCCUAAUUCAUUCAAACUCAAGUGUAGUGACCAUGUUAUAUUGGUCGUUAUCAGCUAGGCGUGAGGCAGUGGACAGUGCUUCCCGGUUUACGACCAUUUCCUCUAAUAAAUUAUGACCUUUCUUACCAAAAUGGUCAUUAUAGGUUAGGGUUUGGAGCCCCCCAACAGCUUCUAACCAAUUGGUCUAAAAUGGUCAUAAAUUUAUGACCAAUUCUUCUAGGGUCACUAACAGAAGGUCACAAGUUGACAUCUUUCUUGUAGUGGUAGUAUGGGGCGGCGGCGCGAGACGGCGACGACGGGGAUGGCUACGACGGGCGGCGGGGGCGACGACGCGCGGCAGGGGCGACUGCGCGCNNNNNNNNNNNNNNNNNNNNNNNNNNNNNNNNNNNNNNNNNNNNNNNNNNNNNNNNNNNNNNNNNNNNNNNNNNNNNNNNNNNNNNNNNNNNNNNNNNNNNNNNNNNNNNNNNNNNNNNNNNNNNNNNNNNNNNNNNNNNNNNNNNNNNNNNNNNNNNNNNNNNNNNNNNNNNNNNNNNNNNNNNNNNNNNNNNNNNNNNNNNNNNNNNNNNNNNNNNNNNNNNNNNNNNNNNNNNNNNNNNNNNNNNNNNNNNNNNNNNNNNNNNNNNNNNNNNNNNNNNNNNNNNNNNNNNNNNNNNCGUCGCGGCGGGGGCGGGGGCGACGUCGCGGCAGGGGCGACGGCGCGCGGCGGAGAAGAAGUGGUGGUCGAUGAAACUGAAUUUUUCGUAAGUGCCAUAUAUAUAGGAGGGGCCUUUAGUACCGGUUGGAGCCAACAACCGGUACUAAAUGCUAAUUUUGGCUAGGCCAAGCGGCGCGAAACGGCCGCCUUUAGUACCGGUUCAUUACCCCAACCAGUACCAAAGGCCAACCCAUUAGUACCGGUUGGAGUCACCAACCGAUACUAAUGGUUGUGCGCUGCCACCCACGGUGCACUAUGUUUAGUCCCACCUCACCGAGCGAAGGGCAGCCGCACUGGUUAAUAAACCCAGUCGCGGCUGCUCCUUCGAAUUCCUCUAUAUAGCAGGCUUCUGGCCCUAACUAGGGCGCGCUGCCCUAUGAGCAUGCCGGCCCUUCUGGGCCUGAAUUUGCACACCCUAGGUCUGGCAGGCCCACUGGACAGCGCGUUUUUUCUUUUCUGCAUUAUUUAUUUUCUUCUAUUUAUUUUUGAGUAAUUUUUUUAUAUAGUUUUUUAUUUUCUGCUUUAUUUAUUUUUUCUUUUAUUUAUUUCUGAGUAGUUUUUUUGUUGUAUUUAGUUUCUUUGUGAAUAUUUUUGCUUUAGCUCUAAAAACAAAUUGGUAAAUGAUGACGUCGCUUUGAAUGCUGCAUACUGAAGUGCCCGUGUAACAGAUGAGUUGCUUCGAAUGCUGCAUAAUGCUUCAUUUUGUAGUGAUUUUCAAUUUCACAGUCAUUUAGCUCUCUGAACAAAUCGGUAAAUGAUUGAAAAACAGCAAAUGAUGUCAGAACGUGUUGGAAAUUGAUGACGUCGCUUUGAAUGUUGCAUAAUGUCGGCUCAACAAAAGUCUGGAGUUCAAAUAAGUUUAGAAAAAUGAAGUGCCCGUGUAACAGAUGAGGUCUCGUCCGAAACCCUGAUACUCCGAAAGAGAUUGUCCAGUUUGUACAUGAAGUGCGUCCAGUUUUUGCCGUGACACUCUCUACUCUUUCGCACAUGCUAUGCGGGUGAAAUGAUGAUACCAUGCCAAGUUUGAACAUUUUUAGAGUUCAUUUUGUUGUGAUUUAUUGUUUCAUGGUCAUUUAGCUCUCUAAACAAAUUGGUAAAUGACUAAAAAACAGCAACUGAUGUCAGAACGUAUUGGAAAUUGAUGACGUUGCUUUGAAUGCUGCAUACUGAACGCAAAAAAAGUCUGGAGUUCAAAUAAGUUUAAAAAAUGAAGUGCCCAUGUAACAGAUGAGUUCUCGUCCAAAACCCUGAUACUCCGAAAGAGAUUGUCCAGUUUGUACAUGAAGUGCGUCCAGUUUUUGCCGUGAUCCUCUCUACUCUUUCGCACAUGCUAUGUGGGUGAAAUGAUGAUACCUUCAACAUUUUCAGAGUUUGUUUUGUAGUGGUUUUCAAUUUCACGGUCAUUUAGCUCUGAUCUAAGCAAAUCGGUGACUGAAAAACAGCAAAUGAUGUCAGAACAUGUUGGAAAUUGAUGACGUCGCUUCGAAUGCUACAUAAUGCCGGCUCAAAAAAGUCUAGAGUUCAAAUAAGUUUAAAAAAUGAAGUGCACGUGUAACGGCUGAGUUCUCAUCCAAAACCCUGAUACUCCGAAAGAGAUUGUCCAGUUUGUACACGAAGUGCGUCCAAUUUUAAAGUUAGUGGCGGCCGGCGGGGGAGGACUGGCGUGGGGGAUUGAGGGGGAGACCGAGUGAGUGGAGAGAGUGAGGGCGUAAACAUGUAAAAAUAUACAUCAAAAUACAUUGAUUAUCAAUGAUAUUUUUGUGUACAAUCUGAAUUGUCAAUAUGAGUCCUCAACGGUUUAGAAACCGGUGAAGACUCAUAUUGAGUCCACAAAUUAUACACAUAGAGUUCAAUGAAGACCAAAUGCUUGUGAUAGUUUGAGAAGUAACAUACUUCAGGUGGUAAAAAUCUUGCUAGGGGAGCGAGGUGGGACUAAAAACAGCCUGCCACAACCUCUUUACUACCGGUUCGUUCCACGAACCGGUACUAAAGGUGCUAGCCGGGCCCCAGCAUCUUUAGUACCAGUUCGUGGCAUGAACCGGUACUAAAGGUUCACACUGAACAGGUACGAAAGAUCUCCUCCCGCCUAGCCAUUUGAACCGGCACUAAUGGACACAUUAGUGCCGGCUCAAAUGCAAACUGGGACUAAUGUGUCUCACAUUUGACCCUUUUUGUCGGUGUACAAAAAGAGGGGUACACUUUUUGUACCCCUAUAACUGUGCACGGGCAGUCUGAGCCACGGACACCACCGCACUGAGCAAGGCAAGGGAGGUGAGCCAAGGUAAGGCCGAAGCUCGAAAGGGGCAGAACGAUGCCAAGACCAAGACCACAAAGAGCAAAGGGGACGAAGCGGACUCCCCCGGCAAGAUCCUUGCCAGGGGGCGGUUUUAGCAAACCCGACAAGACCCUUGCCGUGGCAGCUCGCCCCACACCUACGGAGCGAAUCACCCUUGAGUCCACUGCCCCCAUGGGGCAAGGAUUCGGGAGACAUCCCCGUGGUGGCAUGCAGAUCUUUGUGAAGACAUUCAAGAUUAGAUACACACUAUAGAAGAUAACAAUCCUUGGCGGGAUCCCAGCCAAGGAGGACCACAAGGCCCCCGGCAAGAGCCUUGCCGGGGAUGACAGCAGGCGCCACGACAAGACCCUUGCCGGGGCCCCGGCAAGACCCUUGCCGGGGCUACGGCGAGGCCCUUGCCAAGGACACCCGUAGGGCCACCAUCAGGCCCACGCCAAUCCAAACCUCCACCACCGUUCGCAUGCAGCUGCCGACCCAACCAGUUGGGCAAGCACCUGUGUGGCGGCAAGCGGAUCUUCGUGGAGACCCACCACUGCGCCACCUCAGCUACCUGUCUGCCUACAUGGCACCACGGGCGCCGCCGGCCAGGGCGCGUGUCGACACGAAAGGGAGCAGCGACGGACGAGACUGGGCUCUCCCUCGUCCCCGAUAAACCAAGGACACCUAAGCAAGACGCAUUAAAUGCGCCUUGUCAUGUAAUGCAAGGGAUAAACUCGCAUCAAUGUACCCUUUCCACCUCCUGUGUGCCACUGUGGCAACCCCUUUCCUUAUAAAAGGAGGCCCGAGGCGACCAGGAGGAGGGUUCGGCUUUUUGGAGCUCCUCACGCCCCAUUGCUAGUUCAAGAACACAGAUAAACAAACCACCAAAGCAGGAGUAGGGUUUUACGCAUCCUCGCGGCCCGAACCUGGAUAAAGAACCCGUAUGCUAUCUGUUUGAUCCGCUCUUCUCACGCCCCCGCGCCCCGCAACCGUAGUAGGGAUUCUUGUGAUCCCACAGGUGUCGUCCUCGCACCGACAUCUUUGGUGUGCCAGGUAGGGGGCGUAGUUGUGAGAAUCGGCUCGAGCAAUUAGUUCGACGCUUCUUCAUCGUCAUGGCGCCCAAGAAGAAGAUGACGGUGGCGGUUGGCCCGUCGGAAGCCGGGCAUCCCGUCCCGACGCGGGUGAGCAGUGGACCGGUCGCAGAAAGGACCCAGGGCGCCGUUCGUGAACACCAACACCGUCCCAGCAGUCGAAGUUUGGGAGGCGGCGAUGUUCGUGCGCCUGGUAACGGGCCGCACACCGCCAAAUCCAAAGACGGAGCCAGGCCCUCUGCGGGUGGCGCGGGGCCUUCCGAGAUCGCUGCCACCCCACCCAAAGGCACGCGAGGGCUUCCAAGACUCCCACACCAGCACCGACGGCGCGCUCCUCUCAAGCAGCGCGUGACGAACGGCGUAAUCACGCUGAGGACCCCGACGUCGCCGCGGAAAGAGCCCCGAGCGCCACUCCCUGGAUUUAGAAGACCUGCCCGCUCGCCGAGGCGCUGGUGAAGAUGGCAUGCGACCGCGGGGUCGUGAUAGAGCUCCUUCUGACAUGGUCAGAAGUCGAAGUGCGUCGCGAUCCGUGCAGGUUUCGCUGCCACCAACGCCAGCAUAAGCCCUGGCGCGCGCGCAGUUGCUCCUCGAUUUCCCUCCCACUACGGGGAAACUCGAUGAAUGGAGAGCCACUAUCCGAAGCCUUGUUGCGGUGUCCAACAAAGACGAACCGGGUCCGGUGGAGCCCCCGGGUCGACGCUCCAACGGAGUCCCACACACCAGUGGCAGGAGAGCCGACGGCGCCGUGACCACGGUGCACUCACCUCCUCCUCACCCGAUACCGCGGACGCCAGCCUGUCGCGACGUUACGGGCGAUGAGAUCUCCGUAGCAUCGUCCGACGCGUGGGCCCACUGUGACCAGCGCCAAGUUCUUCGAGAACGAGAACAUGAAGAUGCUCGAACCACUAUCGAGCGCCGGCGCGGAGCGCGCCACCAAUCAGACAGGCGGGCAGGGCCUGCUGUGAGCCACCCGGCACCGGGGAGCCCUGGAGGCCUACCUUACGAGGUAGGCUGUCCGGCUUUUACCCGUGAGCUGCGGUAGUUCCAGUGGCCCACUCACCGCACCUUCAAACCCGACGUGGGCGAAAAGUACAGUGGCAAGACACACCCAUCCGAGUUCCUCAGCGUCUACACCAUCGCGAUGCAAGCUACCGGAGCCCGCGACGAUAAGGUGCUUGCGAAUUACUUUCCGUUAGCUCUUAAACCCAACGCCAUGUCAUGGUUGAUGCACUUGCCGGUAUACUCUAUUUCCUCCUGGUCGGAUUUGUGCCAUGAGUUUGUGGGCGCCUUUACUGGAGGCCACCAAGCCCAUGGCCAAGCAAGCGACCUGCAUGUCAUUCCCCAGAAGGGAGGCGAGAGUCUCCGCAAGUAUAUGCAGAGGUUCAGCCGGGUACAAUACAAUAUCCCUAAUGUUCACCCUGCCGCCAUCAUCAGCGCGUUCCAUCGGAACGUGCGUAACCGCAAGAUGCGCGAAGAGCUGGCAAUGAACAAGGUGAGAGAUGUAGCAGAACUCUAUGUUCUUGCUGACAAAUGUGCUCGGGCUGAAGAAGGAAGGAAGUACCCUAGCGAAGAUGCCGGCGUGGAAACCGACUCCUCAGAUGAGGAUAUUGCCGCCCCGGCGAAGAAAGGUUGGCACCGCAACAGGAAGCGCAAGGGAAAUGCCAUGCUUGACGUCGAGGGAUCUGAUGACGCCGGCUCCACCAAGAAAACCAAGGCAGAUGACCCCAGCAAGGAGGUUGCUGGAUGUGUCGCCUGCCGGGCCUUGGCGGCUGCCGAGAAGCCAGGAAACUCCAACAAGCGAUACUGCAAGAUCCAUCGCACCAAAGGCCAUGCUCUCCGGGACUGCCGACAGGUUGAGCUCCUCGCUGAGAAGCAGAGGGCUGAAUAUGAGAGGCGGGACAAGGAGAAGGGUCCAGACGGUGCUGAGGGGUCCGGCAAGAAGCGUGAUGGCCAGGCGGGCCGUCGCGGCAAGGAUAAGCAAUAGGAGAGGCCCGCCCGGGGCCGUGACAGAAAACCAGAACACGACGAUCACGAAGAGGACGACGAAUCCGGCGACCAAGAGUUUCAGAAAGCUACAGAGGCCAUGUGCAUCGACGGUGGCGCCUCGCUGCAUACUUCUCACCGCCGGCUUAAACAGUGGGCGCGAGAGAUUACAGCGGCAGAGCCGUUGUUUGAUGCCCAAAGGCCGCUGAAGUGGUCCAGCACACCUAUCAUUUUUGACACUGAGGACCACCCUGAUCGCACUACUGCGGUCGGGUGCUUGCCAUUGUUGGUUUCACCAACAAUACGCAACCUCAAGGUGACAAAGAUGCUAGUCGAUGGCGGGGCCGGUCUGAACUUGAUCUCGCUUGCCGUGAUUGAGAAACUGCAAAUUCCUGAUGGAGACCUCGAAGAGACGGGCACGUUUCAGGGGGUCAACCCGGGAAGAAUUGUGGAAUGGGCACUGGAGCUGUCCAGCUUUGGCCUCAAGUUUGAAAGUACCUCGACGAUUCAGAGCCGAGUCCUAGCGGAGUUCAUUGCAGAAUGGACCGCAAUGCCUGACGAAGAAGCCCAAGAGACUGCUCUCCCCGGCAAGGAAGCAAGUUGUGAUUGGAUCAUGUACUUUGAUGGAGCUUUCUCCUUGCAAGGCGGCGGGGCUGGCGUACUACUUGUCGCGCCCACCAGAGAGCACCUCAAGUACCUAAUCCAGAUGUACUUCCCCAGGGAGGUGUCAACCAACAAUACAUCAGAGUACGAAGGGCUGCUUGCCAGUCUUAGGAUCGCGGUGGACCUCGGAAUCAAGAAACUCAUCGUCAGGGGGGGCUCAUAGCUUGUCGUCAAGCAACUCAACAAGGAUUACCAGAGCCUGUUGAUGAAGGCCUACGUCGAUGAAGUGAGAAAGCUGGAAGAGCGUUUCGACGGUAUACAGGCUGAACACGUUCGCCGAGCGGAGAACGAUAUCACCGAUUACCUGUCAAAACGCGCUGCCCUCAAGCUACCUAUGGAACCAGGUACCUUUGUGCUUCAGCUAACUCAGCCAUCCGUUGAUCCAUCAACAGAGCAGAAUAAGAGGAGGAAAUCAGGGCCCGGCAAGUACUUUCCCGCCGAGCUCCCCGAAGCCGCCGGCAAGGAUGUUUCCGGGGAUACUGAGCCCGCCACGGGACGACUGGCUCCGGCGGAGUGUCAAGCUCUUGCCGUCGAGGCAGCCGCUCCUAUAGCGGAGGAGAUGCCUUUAGUCCUCGCCGUCGAGCCCCAGGCUCUAGCGUGGGCACAGCAUACCGUCCGAUUCCUCCAAACAGGGGAACUUCCAGAGGAGCAGGAAGAAGUGGAAAAAGUAGCCCGUCGCUCUACCAUGUACCAGUUCGUCGAUGACGUCCUGUACAAAAAGAGGCCGAACGGUGUGAAAUUGAAGUGUAUCCCCCGAGAGGAAGGACUGGAGCUGUUGGCGGAGAUACACGGAGGCAUAUGUGGAUCCCACAUUGGGUCAAGGGCCCUUGCCGGCAAGGCAUUCUGGCAAGGCUUCUUCUGGCCCACCGCCCUCCAGGGUGCGACGACACUAGUCACCAGGUGUGAAGCAUGUCAGUUCCAUUCAAAGAAGCUUCAUCAGCCAGCUCAAGCCCUUCAAACCAUUCCUCUCUCCUGGCCCUUCUCGGUCUGGGGGCUCGACAUACUGGGCCCCUUUCCCCGCGUUGUCGGGGGCUUUGAGUACUUGUACGUUGCAAUCGAGAAGUUCACAAUGUGGCCAGAGGUGGAGGCAGUGAGGAAGGUCACAGCUCAGUCAGCCGUCAAGUUCUUCAAGGAACUAGUGUGCCGUUUUGGUGUACCCAACAGGGUUAUCACCGACAACGCCACACAGUUCACAAGCCGCACCUUCAUGCAAUAUACCCAAGAUCUCGGCAGCAAAGUCUGUUUCGCUUCCGUUGCUCACCCGCGAAGCAAUGGUCAAGCUGAGAGGGCAAAUGCUGAAGUGCUGCGAGGCUUAAGGACUAAGACCUUUGACAGGCUGCACAAGAGUGGAAGGCGCUGGAUUGAUGAGUUGCCGGCGGUUCUUUGGUCGAUCAGGACGACGCCAAAUCGAGCCAUCGGCCAGACACCUUUUGCCCUGGUAUACGGGGCAAAAGCAGUUCUCCCCACUGAACUCAUAUACGGGUCACCUCGAGUGCUCUCUUAUGACGAGCUUGAGCAAGAGCAACUAUGGCAAGAUGAUGCAAUGCUCCUUCAGGAAGAUCGUCUUCGGGCGGCUGUGAGAGCAGCAUGCUACCAGCAAGCCUUGCACCGCUACCAUAGCCGCAAGGUUCAUGCCCGAAGCCUUGAGGAAGGCGACCUUGUCCUUCGGCAUGUUCAAUCGGCCAAGAAUUCCAACAAGUUGACGCCAAAGUGGGAAGGCCCUUAUCGGGUAAUACGAGUCACCAGGCCCGACGCAGUCCACCUGGAGACCGAAGAUGUAGUUCCGGUGAGUAAAUCCUGGAACAUUGAGCAUCUUCGCAAGUUUUACCGGGCCCCCCGGCAAGCUACCUUUUGUACAAGCAUUGUUGAUGAUGCAUGUAACCCUUUGUACAAAGCCAGGCGCAGACCCUGAGCAUAAAUAAAUGAAGCGCUGGCGCCCUAAGUUAUAGCAUGCAUGCUAGGUCAAGUCUCGUCCUUGGAUAGGGUUGAUAGUGCUUAACGGCGACUAACCCCUAGCUUAGAGGUUAAGUGUCCGUCUCUUUGCUGUUCUUUUGUCUUCUUUGGUUCGCAGGACUCACAGAUAUCCUUGCCGGAUCACUUGAGGAUGAAAAAGAAAAGAGGGACAGACCGGCAUCUAGACCCCGGCAAGCCAGUAUUGCCGGGGGCUGCAAGUACAAAGAUUCACCCAUGGCAAACCAGAGUUGUCGGGGGCUAUAGCUUUAGAUAAGUUCUUCAUCCCUUAUCAUGCAUUCCCUUAUGGACUGAGGUAUGUGAAACCUCGUUUUUUCCCAAAGCUACCGUGCUCCCCUAAAAACUCUACGCCCUAGGGCUCGUUCCUAGGGCCAGGUUUGGUCGUAGUCGCGGCAGCAAAAGGAUGAAACAAGGAGCCUGAACCCACCUCAUCCCUGCCUCCGCCGAAAGCGUGAGAAAGGUCGAGCGAAGUGGGAAGACGGCAGGGCCUGUUGCCGGGCAAGGAAAUGUUUAUCUUGGGGAUAUCAAGGAUUUACUCCUUGUCGUGGGUUCUACCCGCAAACAAAUGACCCGGCAAGCAUCCCUUUUUCAUUAAAAACAGUCCACUCAGGUACAUCCCAUGGGGAAUGGAAAACAUGAAUGGUGGGAUUACAAGUUUUAAAUUCAGCUAAGGCCUAAAGGCUUACAAGCUAAAAAGAGAUAAGGUGCCCGUAACCCCUUUCUUGUCCCUCUCCUCAGGAGGCAGGUCAAGGAAGUGAAAAGGGCAAAAGGGGCGCCUAAGCGAGCUACGAGUGGCAGGAGGCACCAAGAGAACAUCUUGGUGGCCGUCCGAAGGCUAGAUGGUGAUGGCGGCGCCGGAAGCAGAGCUCGAAGACGAGGCGGCAGGACGUCAGCACGCGUCGAAGGCAUCGGUGCCCGCGUACUCCGAUUUGACGGCCUUGCCGCCCGCCCUCUUCCUCUUUUGCAGCCUCCCAAUGCCAGCCGCCCAAGGAGACGACCCCGAGAAGUUCAGGAAGCCGGCGACACGGAUGAUGGGAUCGCCGGUGCCGCACAGAGCGGCGCCCGACACCUAGUUGGACCCGUCAUCCUGCCGCCUGCUACCCUUGUUGUCGCUGCCGCUGUCCUCCUCGUCACUCCCGCCCGAGGAGGAGUCUUCUCUAUCAGAAGAGCUCUCCACGCAGCACCUUGCCUGAGUCCCAAAGCACCCGAAGACCUUGACGGAGAGGAGACCGCCCUCCAUUAGCUUGAAAUGGAGAGUGAGCACCGCCGUCAAGCGGUGGAUAUGAGCGAAUGUCUUCCACCCUCGACCAAGAUACAUCACGUGAGGGGCUGGAAAGUCAAGGUGAACUCGCGUACCGCUGAUCCAACAGCCCCUCAUGUGCAACCGCAAUGACUCCGGCGGAUCCAGCUCCAUCUCGCUCGCGAAUGGAGUCGGGAGACGAAGACGAUGGCGAGGCGGCCGGUGAAGCCUGACGAUGAACUCGCAAGGGUCAUCCCCAACAUGGCCCUCCAUGGGGGGAGGAACUACUGGCGGAGGCGAGAUCGGCGUGCCGCCCCGUUCUCCUCUUCCCUGAGCGCCUCGGCCUCGCCCACGGCCUCGCUCGCGGCCUCGCCCCCUCCCCCUUCCCCUCACGGCUGGCUCUGCCACCACAGGUGAAGGAGAAGGAAGGACACAUUGUCGAGCGGCGACCCUUUUCGCCACCGUUGAAGGGCCAGGAUUCCCUCUCUCCAUGGCGGAUGGAGGGGGGAGCAGAAGCUGAAGGAAGGAGAAGAUGUAAGAGUGCGGGACACCGUCCCCCCCCCCCCCGCUCUUUAUAAAGAAAUGGGGUGGGGGCUGAGCCGCCCCGCUCAGCCAAUCAAGACGCGGAAGGCCCAGGGAACUGGGACCAACCCGCUGCCCCAGCCCGCGAUGGCCCGGUUUCCCGCCUCCACCGUUCGCCACCCCAAGCGCAUGAGAACCACGUGGCAGGCAUGCGGGACCGAGGCGACGGGUGAGGCGACCUCUGCCCACCCCGUGAUUGUGGGGAGUGGACGCCUUGAAGACCAUGCCCCGGCCCCGUUCAGUAAAUGGGCCGAACCGCCCCCUUUUACUACGACGUGACGCAUGCGCGCAGAGCUCAGCCCCACGCAUGCCGCCCACGUCACGCACGCCUCCCCACGCCGAGCCACGCGUGGGAGGCAUGGGAAGCGUAGCACGCGAAGAAACUUACCGUGGAAAAAACUACCUCGCCUGCCCGCGCACCGUUUUUGGGCCUAGCCCAACGACGCGAUUGCGCUUACGUGUGGCCCAGGUCCGGGGGCUCCUGUCGGUGCACAAAAAGACGGGUACACUUUUUGUACCCCUAUAACUGUGCACGGGCAGUCUAAGCCACGGUCACCACCGCAUUGAGCAAGGCAAGGGAGCCGAGCCAAGGUAAGGCCGAAGCUCGAAAGGGGCAGAACGACGCCAAGACCAAGACCACAAAGAGCAAAGGGGACAAAGCGGACUCCCCCGGCAAGUUCCUUGCCGGGGGGCGGUUUUAGCAAACCCGGCAAGACCCUUGCCGUGGCAGCUCGCCCCACACCUAUGGAGCGAAUCACCCUUGAGUCCACUGCCCCCAUGGGGCAAGGAUUCGGGAGACAUCCCCGUGGUGGCAUGCAGAUCUUUGUGAAGACAUUCAAGAUCAGAUACACACUAUAGAAGAUGACGACCCUUGGCGGGAUCCCAGCCAAGGAGGACCACAAGGCCCCCGGCAAGAGCCUCGCCGGGGAUGACAGCAGGCGCCACGGCAAGACCCUUGCCGGGGCCCCGGCAAGACCCUUGUCGGGGCUACGGUGAGGCCCUUGCCAAGGACACCCGUAGGGCCACCAUCAGGCCCACGCCAAUCCAAACCUCCACCACCGUUCGCAUGCAGCUACCGACCCAACCAGUUGGGCAGGCACCUGUGUGGCGGCAAGCAGAUCUUCGUGGAGACCCACCGCUGCGCCACCUCAGCUACCUGCCUGCCUACAUGGCACCACGGGCACCGCUGGCCAGGGCGUGUGUCGACACGAAAGGGAGCGGGGAUGGACGAGACUGGGCUCUCCCCCGUCCCCGAUAAAGCAAGGACACCUAAGCAAGACGCAUUAAAUGCGCCUUGUCAUGUAAUGCGAGGGAUAAACUCACAUCAAUGUACCCUUUCCACCUCCUGUGUGCCACUGUGGCAACCCCUUUCCUUAUAAAAGGAGGCCCGAGGCGACCAGGAGGAGGAUUCGGCUUUUUGGAGCUCCUCACACCCAUUGCUAGUUCAACAACACAGAUAAACAAACCACCAAAGCAGGAGUAGGGUUUUACGCAUCCUCGCGGCCCGAACCUGGAUAAAGAACCCGUGUGCUAUCUGUUUGAUCCGCUCUUCUCACGACCCCGCGCCCCGCAACUGUAGUAGGGAUUCUCGUGAUCCCAUAGGUGUCAUCCUCACACCAACACUUUUUCUACUAGUGGAUGGAUCUGUAGGUGUCCGGGCUUAAACUUAAUAGUGAAGAAAGUGGCAUUUUUAACUAGACUAAACAAUUGCCCGUGCGUGGCAACAGGAAUAUAAAUAUUCUAGCAUAUUAGCUGAUGACUAUGCGUCUAUUAUUAUAUUGAUGAGAUAAAUCUUAGCAAGUUUUUGUAUGUAAUCGCCAAGAUUUACUUGUCAUUUUAUUGUUAGACAAUUAUUUGGUAAGAAUUUAAUUACUUACCAAACAAAAUGUGGUUUCUUUUGUUUAAAACAUGAGACAGUAGAUUCUAUUUUAGGGAGAAUGGAUGGAAGAAAACCAGACAUGAGAGAAAAAAAUCAACGAGGAGAAGGAAAGAGUGGGACAUAUAUAAUGACGGUUAGACAAAAGAGUGGGACAUAUUUUGGUAAUUUUAUACCUUGCGUUCUUUUUAAGUAGUAGAGAAAAGUCUAAAACAGGGAUACCUCUCUCUCUCUCCAAGAGUAACUAAAUUGCCACAUCAUAUGGUACACACUUUUUCUUCUGUCAGAAUGCAUUCUUUCCAAACACUCUAGUUCUCCUUACAUGUUGGAGAUUGAACUAGAUAUGUACAUAAUCCGUAAUGGUCAAAGUGUUUUCUCCCCUCUCCAGCUAGGGCAUAAUCCCCCCCCACCCCCUCCCCCCCCCACCCCGCCCACAGGCUUCACCGGUGAGCCUGUGGAUUAGCCUUUCCUAUGGCUACCCAUCCAGUGAGUGGUGGCGGGGAGGGAAAUCUUGGUGCCUUUACUCUGGCUAGUAGUUUUGGUGAGGGUCCUCACAGGUGCAACGCUCGGGUGUAUGGUGGCGGUUCUUCUUCGACUUGUCUUCCAGGCUCCGAACCUCCUUGAGAUCAUCCAUCUGGACAUAGUCGAUCGAUCUUUGGCAUAAAUUCCCGGAGUCUCCUAGGGGCAUGGGAGGUUAGGGUUUACCGCCGUACGUGUGCACAAAAAGAUUUGGUAUCAAUUGCUAUUCAAGGGUUCACAUGCAUGAAGACUUCAUGCCUGUCAUCGACAAGGUCAAGCUAGCUCCGGUAGUGAAGCAGUGAUAGAAAUGUGUGACAGCCUGACUAGACUACUCAUAUCAACAAGGAAUUCCUUCUUUCCCGGGUGCUCAUUCACAAACAACUCCAAAGUUAAGUGUGUUUGGGUGGCAUGAUUUGAGGAUGGGUGACCGACUGAGAAGUUGAUCCCGAGUGCACACGAGUGAGGACAAGGUGUGCAAGAAAGACUAGGAUUGGUCUGCGGGACCAAUUUAGAUCCCGCUGGGUGUAACAGUCGGGAAACAGUGGUUGUGGCUAGGGCAUUAUAAUUGGUAUCAGAGCUGACUCUUAUGGUUACACAGACGUGUGCGGGCCAGGUGCGUUGACAUGUGGCAUGUGUGGCCCGUCGUGGCACACGACAUGACACAUGAGUCAGACUGGAUGGACAAACGUGUGCCUAGAGGGAAAGUUCUUGUGGGCCGACAAGGACGUCGGUUCUUUUGAGUGAGGGUCACUAGUAGAAAACAAGGUUUUGGUUCAGGCCGAGCCAGCCCAUUAGUCCCGGCUUAGUCACGAAUCGGGACCCAUGGGGUCAUAGGUCCCAGUUCGUGAGGCCAUGGGGCCGGCCGGGCCUCGUGGGGGCAUUGGUCCCGGUUCGUCUGGCCCCUUUGGUCCCGGUUCCAGACACGAACCGGGACAAAUGGGCCUCGCGCCUGGCCCACCACCAUUGGUCCAGGUUGGUUGCUUGAACCGGGACCAAAGGGUGCCCUUUAGUCCCGGUUCCAACCACGAACCAGGACCAAUGAGAUGCCUAUAUAUACCCCCUAGCCCAUGAGCAGAGCACUCCACUACUCUAUUUUUCUGGCCGGCCGUUGGAGAGCAUUAUGGUGCUCUAGCAUACCUCCUAUGCACAUGAGGUGUUCGAUGAAAUGCAUGAGCCACACUUAAGCUUUCUUCUCUCGAAGCUCCUUGUCCAAGCUCCAUUUUCCAUGAGAUUUGUCUAGGUUUGGCGGUCCGUCCUGUCCCGUCCCCUUCCUCUCCACUGUUAAUCGCCCAUGCCGAUCUCAUCGCCUGCACCACCAUGGUGAGCCUCUUGAUCUUAUCUUCUUUCUAAAAGAAAAAAGUUAUUAGUUGUAUGAUUUAGAUAGAUACUUGUGUAGUUUUCUUACUUAUUAUUGUUUGUUAUUACAUAAUGCGAUGGUUUUGGUAUCCGCCUCCAUCGGCCCUCGUCCUGUCUAUGAUUCAGAUGUGGUAUAUAUAUCUUCUUUUAUAACUAUUAGUUUCAUUUAGUGUUUAUGACAAUUAUGCCAAGCAACGUGACAUCAAUUUUCUUAUCUAGGAGGUAUAUGAACCGAAAAUUCCAACUGACCCUCUUUCAAGAGGUUAAAUUUAGUUGAAGAAGAAAACAAUUACUUGAAGGAAAAAUUGAAAAAAAUUGAGGAGGAGAAGAUGAUAUUGGAGUUGCAUGUUGCAGAUGUCAUCGAUGAUCGCAAGAUCAAGAUGGAUGCAAUGCGCUUGAAGAUUAGGAAAAUUAGAAAAUAUGCCAUUUAUACUGAGGCUUGGUAUCAUUAUGCCGUUGGAUCAAUUGUUACCUUGGUUGCUGUUAUGAUCGCAUUUCUUAUUGCAUUGAAAUGUUUUACAUAGUUUCAAUGUAUGGUUUAAUUAGAUGCUCUGGAGAGCCAUAUGUUGUUCAAUGAGAACUAUGUAUCUACUUUGGUUUUAAUGUGAUGAUGAACAUCUAUUAAUUUGGUCACUUAUCUAUUCUUGAUGUACACAGAGAUGAACCGACAAGGGAUGUACGGUAACAUAUGCACCUUCGAGUACAUUAAGGGCGUGAAUAAUUUUCUCGCAGUGGCUAGGAAAACAAGCAGAAUGUUUUUAUGUGUUGUCCAUGCCCUAUAUGUGGGAAUAUGAGGUAUUAUUCUGACUCGAUGCCACAAUAUAAUGUUUGGACCAAGCACGGAGAAAGAGGGGUUAUGAUGGAAGACAACUAAGAAGAAGAAGAUGAUGACAACUAUGUGCCCCCUGAAUACGGUGAUGCUGUAACGGGGAAAGCUGAAGAUGCUGCAAUGGGGGAAGUUGAAUAUCAAGAGGAACCAAACGAUGUGCCCGAUGAUGAUCUUUGCCGAGUCAUUGUUGAUGCAAAGAGACAGUGCGAAAGUGAAAAGGAGAAGUUGAAGUUCGAUCGCAUGUUAGAGGAUCACAAAAAAGGGUUGUACCCCAAUUGCGAAGAUGGAAACACAAAGCUCGGUACCUUACUGGAAUUGCUGCAGUAGAAGGCAGAGAAUGGUGUGCCUCACAAAGGAUUUGAGAAGCUACUGAAAAUAUUGAAGAAGAAGCUUCCAAAGGAUAACAAAUUCCCCGACAGUACGUACACAUCAAAGAAGAUUGUAUGCCCUCUAUGAUUGGAGGUGCAGAAGAUACAUGCAUGCGCUAAUGACUGCAUCCUCUACCACAGUGCAUACAAGGACUUGAACGCAUGCCCGGUAUGUGGUGCAUUGCGGUAUAAGAUUAGACGAGAUGACCCUGGUGAUGUUGACGGUGAGCGCCCCAGGAAGAGGUUUCCUUCCAAGGUGAUGUGGUAUGCUCCUAUAAUACCACGGUUGAAACGCCUGUUCAGAAACAAAGAGCAUGCCAAGUUGAUGCGAUGGCACAGAGAGGACCGUAAGAAAGAUGGGAAGUUGAGAGCACCCGCUGACGGGUCGCACUAGAGAAAAAUCAAGAGAAAGUACUGGGAGGAGUUUGCAGGUGACGCAAGGAACGUAUGUUUUGGUUUAAGCGCGGAUGGCAUUAAUCCUUUUGGGGAGUAGAGCAGCAAUCAGAGCACCUGGCCCGUGACUCUAUGUAUCUAUAACCUUCCUCCUUGGUUGUAAAUGAAGCGGAAGUUCAUUAUGAUGCCAGUUCUCAUCCAAGGCCCUAAGCAACCUGGCAACGACAUUGAUGUGUACCUAAGGCCAUUAGUUGAAGAACUUUUACAACUAUGGAAUGGAAAUGGUGUACGUAUGUGGGAUGAGCACAAAUAGGAGGAAUUUGACCUGCACGCAUUGCUAUUUGUAACCAUCAAUGAUUGGCCUGCUCUCAGUAACCUUUUAGGACAGACAAACAAUGGAUACCACGCAUGCACGCACUAUUUAGAUGACACUGAAAGUGUAUACCUGGAAAAUGCAGGAAGAAUGUGUAUCUAGGGCAUCGUCUAUUUCUUCUGACCAACCAUCAAUGUCGAAAGAAAGGCAAGCAUUUCAAAGGCGAGGCAGAUCACCGGAAGAAGCCCGCCAUGCGUACCGGUGAUCAUGUACUUGCUAUGGUCAAUGAUUUAAAAGUAAUCUUUGGAAAGGGUCCCAGGAGACUAUUUGUUUCGAAUGACGCUGAGGGAUGCACACCCAUGUGGAAGAAGAAAUCUAUAUUUUGGAAACUACUCUACUGGAAAGACCUAGAGGUACGCUCUUCAAUCGAUGUGAUACACGUGAUGAAGAACCUUUGCGUGAACCUGCUAGGCUUCUUGGGCGUGUAUGGGAAGACAAAAGAUACACCAGAGGCAUGGGAGGACCUGCAAUGUUUGCACGAAAAAGACGGCAUGUCUCCAAAGCAGUAUGAAGGUCCUGCCAGCUACGCUCUUACUAAAGAAGAGAAGGAAAUCUUCUUUGAAUGCCUGCUCAGUAUGAAGGUCCCGUCUGGCUUCUCAUUGAAUAUAAAGGGAAUAAUAAAUAUGCUAGAGAAAAAGUUGUAGAACCUAAAGCCCCCCCCCCCCUUAGUCCCGGUUGGUGCCACCAACAGGGACCAAAGGNNNNNNNNNNNNNNNNNNNNNNNNNNNNNNNNNNNNNNNNNNNNNNNNNNNNNNNNNNNNNNNNNNNNNNNNNNNNNNNNNNNNNNNNNNNNNNNNNNNNNNNNNNNNNNNNNNNNNNNNNNNNNNNNNNNNNNNNNNNNNNNNNNNNNNNNNNNNNNNNNNNNNNNNNNNNNNNNNNNNNNNNNNNNNNNNNNNNNNNNNNNNNNNNNNNNNNNNNNNNNNNNNNNNNNNNNNNNNNNNNNNNNNNNNNNNNNNNNNNNNNNNNNNNNNNNNNNNNNNNNNNNNNNNNNNNNNNNNNNNNNNNNNNNNNNNNNNNNNNNNNNNNNNNNNNNNNNNNNNNNNNNNNNNNNNNNNNNNNNNNNNNNNNNNNNNNNNNNNNNNNNNNNNNNNNNNNNNNNNNNNNNNNNNNNNNNNNNNNNNNNNNNNNNNNNNNNNNNNNNNNNNNNNNNNNNNNNNNNNNNNNNNNNNNNNNNNNNNNNNNNNNNNNNNNNNNNNNNAGCGCACCGUCCAGCCGCGGCCCUGCCCCGGCCAGCCCCCACCACCGUCGCCAUCGCCGUGCCCUCACCGCCUCCACCGUCGCCCUCGCUGGCUGCCCCGCUGUGAGCCGCCGCCGCCCGGCUCUCUGCACAUGUUUUUAUGUGAUUUUAUGCGAUUUUUUAUGUGAUGAUUUUUUUGUUCAUAUAUAUAAUGUAUAGAUGUGUGUGGAUAUAGGUAUGUAUGGAUGUGGCUAUGUAUGUAUGGAUAUAAUGUUCAUAGCAUUUUUUUCAUAUAUGUAUUAAUUUUUUUAUUUAGGUCUAUUUUCUUGGUGAUAUGUAUGUUCAUAUGCUCAUUUAAGAAAAUGUUCAUAUGCUCAUUUAAAAAAGAAUAUGCAAAGAAUUUUUUUGGAUAAAAUUAGAUGAGAUGAGAUGUAUGAUAUGUUUUGUGGAUUUUUUUUCAUAGAAAUUAGUGUGAUAUUUUUGUUCAUGAUGAUCUUGCUCGAUGAAUGCUCUAUGUUAAAACUCAUAUUAAGUUUGUUCGAGGAAGAAGGAUAAGAAGAAGGAGAAGAGGAGGAAAGGACGAAGAGGAAGAAGAAGAAAAAAAGAGGAGAAGAAGAAGGAAUAGAGGAGAAGAAGAAAAAAUAUAAGUUUCUUAUUUCUUCUUUUAUAGACUGUGCUGACUAGCUAAUUGAUGCAUUAGUUGUUUUGGUAUGUACAUAUAUUGACUCAUCUUUCUUCUUUUAUAGCCCUCCGGAUCGAGCCAAACUUCGGUAACGAGACGAGGCCCGAAGAAAAGGUUGCGCCAGGAUGAAAGGUUCACGAUCACAGCAAUCGCGGGCGAUGGCCAACCGAUUGAACCCAGCCGGACCAAGGAAGCCUUGACCAAUUUUGUGCUGAAGGAAAAUUUCACCCUACAGCCAGAGAGGAUCCGGAUAAGCCAGUUAUAGAGCCAUUGGUCAAAGCUCAUGCUCUCAAGAAGAUGGUAGAUCUAUUCAAGAGGUGGAAGAAUGAGUUGAAAUCAACAUAUGUCGACAAAGAGAAGACUCCAGAAUUCACCGGCCUAUUUGAGAAGAUAAGAGAUCACUCGGCCGCAUUUUUUGCCCACAAGACAUCAGAGAAGAGUAAGAAUAUGUCAGCGACAAACAAGAAAAAUGCUGCAAAUAAGGAGCAUCACGAUCGCACGGGGUCAGGUGGCUACCUCAAAGCCCGCCCGUUAUGGGACAAGGCUGAGAAUGACCUGAUUCCUAAAGGGGUCGAACCAGAGACAUUGAACUGGCCAGACCGUUCAAGGACUUGGUUCUUCGGGGUUGGGGGAACCUUGGACCCUGAAACAGGGAACUGUGUGUGGACGGACGAGCAACUUGAAAUACCCAUCAAGAAGCUUCAGAAGUAUAUCGCCACAGCGCAGCAAGGGACGUUUGUUCCCGACAGAGAGAACGACGAGCUCACAAAGGACCUCGGGAAUCCUGAGCACCCUAGACGAACACGAGGCACGCCAUGCUCCGUUGCAUGGAAGGUUGGGUUUCCCGGCGCAGGCGGUUAGAAAACCCAAGAGAGGAGGAGGAAAGCAGAGCAGAGCGAACUGCAGAAGCUGAAUGCAAGGGUACAAAAGCUAGAGGAACAAGUUGAGAUCCAAUGACCUGCCCAAGCUACCCUAGAAGCUACCCCGCUAUCUCAGUGGAGAAGCAGCGUGGCUUCAACCAAGCUCGUCCAGUAGCCUGGUUUCACAGCUCCUAGCUACCCCGUGGAUGCUAUCAUGGAGGCUCAACAGUGUCAGCUUAUGACACAAUGGCAGAACCUCAAAAUCAAGGCGGCUGUCGGCUCUGUUGCACCUCCUGAACCCAACGCAACUUUUCACUCCCUUCUGAUUCCACAAGGCUAUAUUGUUGUGAUGGUGGAUGAAAUAACGGAGGGAUUUGCGGAGCUCCAGCUUGACCACCCUACAGGUGAAGGGGAGACUCAGCUGGGUCUUGCUCUGAAGACUCCAUGUCUAUGGCGGAAGGAGCACAUCAAGCUUCUGAACUUCACGCCUCCGCCUCCUCCUCCUCCUCCUUCGGCGAGUCAGGGCACUCCGCCUCCUCCUCCUCCUACUUCACCGGCGUUUGAUCAGGGCACUCCACCUCCUCUGGCGUGUGAGGGCGGCACUCCACCUCCUUCUCCACCUGCUCUGGCACGUCCGAGCAGCUCGCCUCCUCCUCUGCCUCGUCAACAACAGUGGACCAUGAACGCCGCUUCUCCUGCUGCUCCGGCGCGUUGGACCACUCUGCCUCCUUCUACUACUCGUCAGUAGCAACGGAAGAGAGACGCCGCCGCUCCGGCAUCUAGCAGUAUAGCCAGAGACGGGAGGCAAUACAGAUUCGGUCCAUCUCUCAAGCCUGUAGAGAAAUUACCAUAUGAGAUGACAGUGAAGGAAAACACGAAGAUCGUUGAAGCCCAAGUGAAGGACUUCUUUGAAACACAAAGAGCUAUGAAACAUCCACCUCCAGAGGAGAAGAUAGAUCCGGUGAAAGCGAAGUGCACUAUCAAUGCCCUGAAGCAACCACCACCGCCUUCACCGGAUAACAACCAUCUCCGCUGUCUUAAAAAGACAUUACAAUAAGCACGCCGGUCGGGAAGUACUUCAAGUGACAAAAGGUUAAAAGAACAAUAAAGUGGGGAAAACAUUCCCUAGCUCAGAGAACAGGAGAACCAAUCAUUCCCCCCGCUCAAGGUGUCCAGCGAUAUCGUCACAAAUCAACCGCUGAUGUUGCCCGGUACCAAUCCUGGUGAUUACAUGCCCGACGAUGUAAAUUUUGAUACAAUGGAGGUGGAUGAAUUCAAAUACCACUAUAGGAAGCCUCUCGUCAAAGAUGGAACACUUGCUCCAACAACAAUGAUGCAAAAAUUCCAUGAAUGGUACAUGAAAACCUGUAGCGAGUCUAGGAAGGAUGCUUUGUCGAUGAGAAUUAAAGAGGACCACGACUUCAUUGGCCAAUAACUGCUAACUGUUGAUUUUGACGAGUUUUUCCAGUUCUACAAUCAAAAGGCCCUCGACAAAUCACUUGUGGCUUCCUACUGUCUGUAAGUACUACUUUCUGUAAUUAAGUCUCUCUAUAUAUAGCUUAGCUCUUUCAUUGCAUGUAUAUAUAAUUAUCCUCACUAUAUUAUGCAGAUUGAAGAUCGUCGAAAGCAGAAAAGCACAAAUCUAUGACAUUGGGUUCAUUAACCAAAAUGUCAUACAUGAAUGGAUGGUUCAAAAGAAUGUCACAGAAACCGAGGACAACUUGCUACAAUCGUUUCUCAAAAAUCAAAGCAAAGAUAAAAUACUCUUUCCUUACAACUUCAAGUGAGUGUUACUGUCUUGUGCAUAUUCGGUUUCCCUUAUUACUCGAGGUUAUAGUCAUGCUACUAAUGAGUUGUGCAUGCGUGCGCAGCUUCCACUUUAUUCUCCUAGUGAUUAAGCUUGAGUACGGAGAAGUAACUGUCUUAGACUUGAGAUGAAAAGAUCCCGAGGACUAUGCGGACAUGACUCGAAUACUCUAGAAGUAAGUUCAAUCGAUCAUUAUAGCACCAUAUCGGCAACUUUGUUCAUUUCCUAAUAUCAAGUAAUUAUUAUUUUUGUCUGGCAGGGUUUGGAAAGAGUUCACCGCAAUUUCUCCGGGACUGUCGACCGAGCUGACAUUUAAACACCCGAAAGUAAGUACUACUACCUAGUUCCGCGCAUCUCCCAUUGAUUCUUGCUAGUUUCAUCAAUACCAUUUAGCAUGCUUGCUUAUUAGUUUGAUUGACCUAUAUUUCUCAUAAAGUUCUUGUGGCAGGAAUAAGGAAAUGAUUUCUGUGGAUACUCCAUUUGCGAGUUCAUCUACAACGAGACGGCCAAGAAUAAGCGGGGCUGCUCUAAAAAACAGUAUGAAGUGUGUAAGAAAAAAUAUUCACAAUUGUAUUUUAUUACCAUCAUUUGUGUUGAGUUUCAUUCAUACACAUGUAUUGACCCUCUUCUUCGAUUUAGAUCUGGCAGUUGUUGGAUGAGCUCGUACCACAUGAUCGCAUAAAAGCAAUUCAAGAGGAAUUGGCGGGAUUCUUUCUUGACCACGUCUUCAAUAAAGCUAGCGAAUAUGAUGUGGAACUUGACUUCAGAUAUUAGGGAUUGUAAUAGAUCUUAUAUUGUAUAUAUGUAGCUAGUAGCGUCGGAUAGAUGUACAAAAACUUGUUGUUCGACCAAUCUCUCGGAGAAGGAUAGAUCGAUCACUUCUCUCUAUAUAUGUUCAUGACGAUCUGCUGUACUUAAUGGUUUCCUUCAUUUUCUUACUAGCUAGCAUGUCGAGUCCUCUCUACACGUAUAGUACGUAGCGUCGACCAAGCACGGAGAUAAAAGAGGUCACUUCUCUCUACUAGCUAGCUAACACAAUAUAUGAAACCCCUAAUUAAAUUAACCCUCCAAAACCCCCAACCCCCCUCCCCCCUUUAAAAAAAACAAAAAUCCCAGCUCCUGAGCCGCUGACGCGUGGAUGCCUUUUGGUUCCGGUUGGUGUUAUGCCAACUCCACCGCAAGACCCCAAAUGGACGUCCGCAUCUGACUUUUGGACGUCCCUUUGGGUGCGAUUGGAGCAUCCGCGCCCACCGCGCACGAGCCGUCCUUGACCCCAAACGGAAGCGCCCCGCCCCAAUCUCCUUCGCCUCCUCGUCGUCCCACCCCGCCCCGUGCUCUGCCGCCCCGCCCCGACUGAAAGUGCAACUAUCCCUAGGUGGUUUUAGUAAUUCCUAACAACAUAUAGCUCAUUGAGCUAAUGCUACCCCAAGAUAAAUAUUUCAGGAAAGCUCAAUGAUUCGCAUGGCAUGGAUGAGAAAAGUGGACCCCUCAAAAUGCUAAGGACAAAAGGAUUGGCUCAUGCUCAAAUCUCAAGACUCUGCAUUUUCUAUUUUAAGUGAUCCAAGAUCACAUUGAGUCUAUAGGAAAAGCCAAUACUAUCAAGGAGGGAUGAGGUGUUGCUUAAUGAGGUUCUUGCUCAAAGUGCUUAGUGAUAUGCUCAAAAGCCCUCAACUACUUUCUCACAUCCACAUAUGACCUAAACCAAAAGUCAAACUCGGCCCCACCGAUUCUUUCUAUCCGGCGCCACCGAGUUUCAGAUGUCAUAGCCACUGCCACAAACCCUAGGAAAAUCUGUCUCACCGAUAGGGAUCUUGGUCUCACCGAGAUGGGAUUGUAAUCUUUCUGUUUCCCUUCAUAACGUUUCGGUCCCACCGAGAUGAGCGAUUGGUCCCACCGAGAUUGCAAUGUAAACUAUCUGUUUCCCUUUCGUAACGUUUCGGUCCAACCGAGAUGAGCGAAUCGGUCCCACCGAGUUUACCUGACCAACUCUCUGGUUAGCUUAUUACAAAAAUCGGUCUCACCGAGUUUGUGUAAUCGGUCUCACCGAGAUUAUGUUAUGCCCUAAUGUUGUCUACUAGACAACCUUCUUCUUGUAGACGUUGUUGGGCCUGCAAGUGCACAUGUUUGUUAGAAAGUAGCAAAUUUCCCUCAAGUGGAUGACCUAAGGUUUAUCAAUCCGUAGGAGGCGUAGGAUGAAGAUGAUCUCUCUCAAACAACCCUGCAACCAAAUAACAAAGAGUCUCUUGUGUCCCCAACACACCCAAUACAAUGGCAAAUUGUAUAGGUGCACUAGUUCAUCGAAGGGAUGGUGAUACAAGUGUAAUAUGGAUAGUAAAUAAAGGUAUUUGUAAUCUGAAAUUAUAAAAACAGCAAGGUAACAAGUGGUAAAAGUGAGCGUAAACGGUAUUCCAAUGAUAGGAAACAAGGCCUAAGGUUCAUACUUUCACUAGUGCAAGUUCUCUCAACAAUAAUAACAUAGAUAGAUCAUAUAACAAUCCCUCAACAUGCAACAAAGAGUCACUCCAAAGCCACUAAUAGCGGAGAACAAACGAAGAGAUUAUGGUAGGGUACGAAACCACCUCAAAUUUAUUCUUUCGGAUCAAUCUAUUCAAGAGUUCGUACUAGAAUAACACCUUAAGACAGAAAUCAACCAAAACCCUAAUGUCACCUAGAUACUCCAUUGUCACCUCAAGUAUCCGUGGGUAUGAUUAUACGAUAUGUAUCACACAAUCUCAGAUUCAUCUAUUCAACCAACACAAAGUACUUCAAAGAGUGCCCCAAAGUUUUUACCGGAGAGUCAAGACGAAAACGUGUGCCAACCCCUAUGCAUAUGUUCAUGGGCGGAACCCGCAAGUUGGUCACCAAAACAUACAUCAAGUGGCACAUGCUAUCCCAUUGUCACCAUAGAUAAUCACGGCAAGACAUACAUCAAGUGUUCUCAAAUCAUAAAAGACUCAAUCCGAUAAGAUAACUUCAAAGGGGAAAAUUCAAUCCAUUACAAGAGAGUAGAGGGGGAGAAACAUCAUAAGAUCCAACUAUAAUACCAAAGCUCGGGAUACAUCAAGAUCGUGCCAUAGAGAGAACACGAGAGAGAACACGAGAGAGAGAGAGAGAGAGAUCAAACACAUAGCUACUGGUACAUACCCUCAGCCUCGAGGGUGAACUACUCCCUCCUCGUCAUGGAUAGCGCCGGGAUGAUGAAGAUGGCCACCGGUGAGGGAUCCCCCCUCCGGCAGGGUGCCGGAACAGGCUCCCAAGAGGUUUUUGGUGGCUACAGAGGCUUGUGGCGGCGGAACUCCCGAUCUAUCUUUGUUGUUGAUGUUUUUAGGGUACAUGGACUUAUAUAGGCGAAAGAAGUCGGUCGGGGGGUGCUCGAGGGGCCCACGAGACAGGUGGGCGUGCCCUCCUAUCUCAUGGCCUCUUCGAGGAUCUUCUGACGUGAACUCCAAGUCUCCCGGAUCAUAUUCUUCCCAAAAAUCAUGCUCCCGAAGGUUUCAUUCCGUUUUGACUCCGUUUGAUAUUCCUUUUCUUCAAAAUACUGAAACAGACAAUAAAACAGCAAUAUGGGUUGGGCCUCCGGUUAAUAGAUUAGUCCCAAAAGUAAUAUAAAAGUGUAUAAUAAAGCCCAUAAUCAUUCAAAACAGAUAAUAAAAUAGCAUGAAUGCUUCAUAAAUUAUAGAUAUGUUGGAGACGUAUCAACAUCCCCAAGCUUAAUUCCUGCUCGUCCUCGAGUAGGUAAAUGAUAAAAGAAAGAAUUUAUGAAGUGUGAAUGCUAGCAGGUGCCUAAGUUUGAUCAAUGAUAAUUUCAAUCACCUUUUCUAGCAUGAUUAUAUGUCAUAAUAGUAGUUCAACUCAUAAAACUUCUCACGAACAAGUAACAAGCAAUUCACAUGUUAAAGCAUAGACUAUAAACUUUCUUGCAAACUAGCAAACUUCAUUCUUAGCCAUCAAACAAUUGCAAUUCAUCUUAUUUUCAGGAAGGGUCUAUGUCAGAGCUUUAAUUUAGCAAACUCCACAUACUCAACUAUCAUAUAGUCUUCUACAAUUGCUAACACUCAUGCAAUACGUGUGUGGAUAUGGAGUUUUAAUCAGACACAGAGAAAGAUAGGGGCUUAUAAUGUUGCCUCCAAACGUAUUCACCUUUGGGUGAUGUCAACAAUAAUAGUUAAUGCUAAUGUACAUCCAAUUGGAUAUAUAUAUCAGGAUCACCCUAACACAAAGUGCUUGCCAAAGGAUAAAAUGAAAAAGGGAAAGGUGAAGAUCACCUUGACUCUUGCAUAAAGUAAAAGACAUAAAGUAAAAGAUAGGCCCUUUGCAGAGGGAAGCAGAGGUUGUCAUGCACUUUUAGCGUUGGAUACACAAAAUCUUAAUGCGAAAGAACGUCACUUUAUAUUGCCCCUUGUAUAUGGACCUUUAUUAUGCAGUCCGUCGCUUUUAUUGCUUCCAUAACAAGACCGUACAAAGCUUAUUUUCUCUGCACUAAUAAGUCAUGCAUAUUUAGAGAGCAAUUUUUAUUGCUUGCACCGAUGACAACUUACUUGAAGGAUCUUACUCGAUCCAUAGGUAGGUAUGGUGGACUCUCAUGGCAAAACUGGGUUUAAGGGUAUUUGGAAGCACAAGUAGUAUCUCUACUUGGUGCUAGGAAUUUUUCCUAGCAUGAGGGGGAAAGGCAAGCUCAACUUGUUAGAUGUGAAGUCAUUACUCACCAUGGGAUAAGCAAAUGAAACAUAUGUAAUUUGAGAUUUAUGACAUUCAACUCAUUCAACUAGUUACUCAUAGGAUAUAAGUUAAGCACACGAGGAAAUGAAAAACUACUCCAAAAAGAUAUAAGUGAAGAUCAAUGAGUAGCUAAAUAAUUAUGCAACUAUGUGAAGACUCUCUCUCAUUUAAGAAUUUUAGAUCUUGGUAUUGUAUUCAAACAUCAAGCAAAACAAAAUAAAAUGACAUUGCAAGGAUAGCACAACUCACGUGAAGAAGCAAAAACUUAGGUUCAACCGAUACUAACCGAUAGUUGUUGAAGAAGAAAGGUGGGAUGCCUACCGGGGCAUCCCCAAGCUUAGAUGCUUGAGACUUCUUGAAAUAUUAUCUUGGGGUGCCUUGGGCAUCCCCAAGCUUGAGCUUUUGUGUCUCCUUAAUUCCUUUUAUAUCUCGGUGUCUCUUUCUAUCAAAAGCUUCAUCCACACCAAACUCAACAAGAACUCGUGAGAUAGGUUAGUAUAAACCAAUGCAAAACCUUAUCAUUUUCUACUGUAACAAAUCACUAAAUAUAUUAUUCAGCAUUGAAUACUAAAUGUCUCUGUAUAUUUAAUACUCCUAUCCUCAAAUAGAAUCAUUAAACAAGCAAGCAUAUGCAAACAAUGCAAGCAUAACAGCAAUCUACCAAAACAGUAUAGUCUGUAAAGAAUGCAAGAUUCAUCAAACUUCCCUAACUCCAAAAUUAUAAGAAAAAUACUAUGUUGUAUAAUAUGUAUCAGAGCUCAUCAUGCAAAAAUAUUCAACAUUAUAUCACUCUCUGACUUUUCUAGGGAAUUUUUGCAACAGUGGUAAACUUUCUAUUUUCAAACAGCAACAUGUAUACUAGCAAAAUAAGCAUGGUAAAGGCUAUCCUUGACAUUUUUAAUGAAAAUAUAGAUGCAAAACAUUAUUAUAAAUAACAGCAAGCAAAUACUAACAAAAGAAAUUGACGCUCCAAGCAAAACACAUAUCAUGUGGUGAAUAAAAAUAUAGCUCCAAGUAAAGUUACUGAUGAACGACGACGAAAGAGGGGAUGCCUUCCGGGGCAUCCCCAAACUUAGUUGCUUGGGUGUCCUUGAAUAUUACCUUGGGGUGCCUUGGGAAUACCCAAGCUUAAGCUCUUACCAAUCCUUAUUCCAUAGUCCAUCGAAUCUUUACCCAAAACUUGAAAACUUCAACCACACAAAACUCAAAACAAAACUCGUAAGCUCCGUUAGUGUAAGAAAGUAAAUCACCACUUAGUUACUGUAAUGAACUCAUUGUUUAUUUAUAUUUGUGUUAAACCUACUGUAUUCCAAGUUCUCUAUGGUUCAUACCCUUACAUACUAGCCAUAGAUGCAUCAAAAUAAGCAAACAACACACGGAAGGAAGAAUCCGUCAAAAACAGAAUAGUAUGUAGAAAUCUGUAUCAAACGUAUACUUCUGGAACUCCAAAAAUUAUGAAUUAAAUUGGCGGACCUGAGUAAUUUGUCUAUUAAUCAUCUGAAAAAAUAAUCAACCUAAAAGCACUCUACUGUAAAAAAAAUGGCAGCUAAUCUCGUGAGCGCUAAAGUUUCUGUUUUUCACAACAUGAUCAUAAAGACUUCACCCAAGUAUUCCCAAAGGUUCUACUUGGCACAAACACUAAUUAAAACAUUAAACCACAUCUAACCAGAGGCUAGAUGAAUUAUUUAUUACUAAAUAGGAACAAAAAUCAAAGAAACCGAAAUAAAAUUGGGUUGCCUCCCAACAAGCGCUAUCGUUUAACGCCCCUAGCUAGGCAUGAUGAAAUCAUGCUCACAUAAAAGAUAAGAAUUGAAACAUAAAGAGAGCAUCAUGAAGAAUAUUACUAUCACAUUUAAGUCUAACCCACUCCCUAUGCAUAGGGAUUUUGUGACCAAACAACUUAUGGGAACAAUAAUCAACUAGCAUAGGAAGACAAAACAAGCAUAACUUCAAGAUUUUAAGCACAUAGAGAGGAAACUUGACAUUAUUGCAAUUCCUACAAGCAUAUGUUCCUCCCUCAUAAUAGUUUUCAGUAGCAUCAUGAAUGAAUUCAACAAUAUAACCAGCACAUAAAGCAUUCUUUUCAUGAUCUACAAGCAUAGAAAAUUUACUACUCUCCACAUAAGCAAAAUUCUUCUCAUUCGGAAUGGUAGUGGGAGCAAACUCAACAAAAUAACUAUCAUGUGAGGCAUAACCCAAUUGAAAACUAAAAUCAUGAUGACAGGUUUCAUGGUUAUCAUUAUUCUUAAUAGCAUACAAGUCAUCACAAUAAUCAUCAUAGAUAGCAACUUUGUUCUCAUAAUCAAUUGGAACCUCUUCCAAAAUAGUGGAAUCAUCACUAAAUAAAGUUGACACUCUUCCAAAUCCACUUUCAUAUUCAUCACAAUAAGAUUCAAUAUCCUCCAAAAUAGUGGGAUCAAUACUACCUAAAGUUGACACUCUUCCAAAACCACUUUCAUCAAUAUAAUCAUCAUAAAUAGGAGGCAUGCUUUCAUCAUAAUAAAUUUGGCCAUCAACACUUGGGGGACUAAACAUAUCAUAUUCAUCAAACAUAGCAUCCCCAAGCUUGUGGCUUUGCAUAUCAUUAGCAUCAUGGGUAUUCAAAGAAUUCAUAUAAUAACAUUGCUAUCAUGCUCAACGUUCAAAGACUUAAUGCCAAACAUUUUAUAGAUUUCUUCUUCUAGCACUUGAGCACAAUUAUCCUUACCAUCAUUCUCACGAAAGAUAUUAAAAAGAUGAAGCGUAUGAGACAAACUCAAUUCCUUUUUUUGUAGUUUUCUUUUAUAAAAUAAACUAGUGAUAAAACAAGAAACAAAAAGAUUCGAUUGCAAGAUCUAAAGAUAUACCUUCAAGCACUCACCUCCCCGGCAACGGUGCCAGAAAAGAGCUUGAUGUCUACUACACAACCUUCUUCUUGUAGACGUUGUUGGGCCUGCAAGUGCACAGGUUUGUAGGAUAGAGGCAAAUUUCCCUCAAGUGGAUUACCUAAGGUUUAUCAAUCCGUAGGAGGCAUAGGAUGAAGAUGGUCUCUCUCAAACAACCCUGCAACCAAAUAACAAAGAGUCUCUUGUGUCCCCAACACACCGAAUACAAUGGUAAAUUGUAUAGGUGCACUAGUUCGACGAAGAGAUGGUGAUACAAGUGCAAUAUGGAUAGUAGAUAAAGGUAUUUGUAAUCUGAAAUUAUAAAAACAGCAAGGUAACAAGUGGUAAAAGUGAGCGUAAAUGGUAUUGCAAUGAUAGGAAACAAGGCCUAAGGUUCAUAGUUUCACUAGUGCAAGUUCUCUCAACAAUAAUAACAUAGAUAGAUCAUAUAACAAUCCCUCAACAUGCAACAAAGAGUCACUCCAAAGCCACUAAUAGUGGAGAACAAACGAAUAGAUUAUGGUAGGGUACGAAACCACCUCAAAGUUAUUUUCUCGGAUCAAUCUAUUCAAGAGUUCGUACUAGAAUAACACCUUAAGACACAAAUCAACCAAAACCCUAAUGUCACCUAGAUACUCCAUUGUCACAUCAAGUAUCCAUGGGCAUGAUUAUACGAUAUGCAUCACACAAUCUUAGAUUCAUCUAUUCAACCAACACAAAGUACUUCAAAGAGUGCCCCAAAGUUUCUACCGGAGAGUCAAGACGAAAACGUGUGCCAAGCCCUAUGCAUAGGUUCAUGGGCGGAACCCGCAAGUUGGUCACCAAAACAUACAUCAAGUGGCACAUGAUAUCCAAUUGUCACCACAGAUAAUCACGAAAAGACAUACAUCAAGUGUUCUCAAAUCAUAAAAGACUCAAUCCGAUAAGAUAACUUCAAAGGGGAAAACUCAAUCCAAUACAAGAGAGUAGCGGGGGAGAAACAUCAUAAGAUCCAACUAUAAUACCAAAGAUCGGGAUACAUCAAGAUCGUGCCAUAGAGAGAACACGAGAGAGAGAGAGAGAUCAAACACAUAGCUACUGGUACAUACCCUCAGCCCCGAGGGUGAAGUACUCCCUCCUCGUCAUGGAUAGCGCCGGGAUGAUGAAGAUGUCCACCGGUGAGGGAUCCCCCCUCCGGCAGGGUGCCGGAACGGGCUCCCGAGAGGUUUUUGGUGGCAACAGAGGCUUCUGGCGGUGGAACUCCCGAACUAUCUUUGUUGUCGAUGUUUUUAGGGUACGUGGACUUAUAUAGGCGAAAGAAGUCGGCCAGGGGGUGCUCAAGGAGCCCACGAGACAGGGGGCGCGCCCAAGGGGUGGGCGCGCCCUCCUAUCUCCUGGCCUCCUCGAGAAUCUUCUGACGUGAACUCCAAGUCUCCCGGAUCAUAUUCUUCCCAAAACUCACGUUCCCGAAGGUUUCAUUCCAUUUGGACUCCAUUUGAUAUUCAUUUUCUUCGAAAUACUGAAACAGGCAAUAAAACAACAAUAUGGGUUGGGCCUCCGGUUAUAGGUUAAUCCCAAAAGUAAUAUAAAAGUGUAUAAUAAAGCCCAUAAUCAUUCAAAAAGAUAAUAAAAUAGCAUGAAUGCUUCAUAAAUUAUAGAUACAUUGGAGACGUAUCACCUAACCCUAACCAUAUCGUUCCUACCGAGUUGCAUGUCGGUCCCACCGAAAAUCCAAACGGUCACUAGAUUUACUGAAUCGGUCUGACCGAGUUUCUCAAUUCGGUCCCAUCGAGAUUGGUAAGUUGUGUGUAAUGGUUAUAUUUUGUGUGGAGGCUAUAUAUAUACCCCUCCACCUACUCUUCAUUCGUGGAGAGAGCCAUCAGAACAUGCCUACACUUCCAACUUACAUUUUCUGAGAAAGAACCACCUACACUUGUGUUGAGGUCAAGAUAUUCCAAUCCUACCAUAUGAAUCUUGAUCUCUAGCCUUCCCCAAGUUGCUUUCCACUCAAAUCUUCUUUCCACCAAAUACAUAUCAUGUGAGAGAGAGUUGAGUGUUGGGGAGACUAUCAUCUGAAGCACAAGAGCAAGGAGUUCAUCAUCAACACACCAUUUGUUACUUCUUGGAGAGUGGUGUCUCCUAGAUUGGCUGGGUGUCACUUGGGAGCCGCCGACAAGAUUGUGGAGUUGAACCAACGAGUUUGUACGGGCAAGGAGAUUGCCUACUUCAUGAAGAUCUACCCCUAGUGAGGCAAGUCCUUAGUGGGCGACGACCAUGGUGGGAUAGACAAGGUUGCUACUUCGUGGACCCUUCAUGGGUGUAGCCCUCCGUGGACUCGCGCAACCGUUACCCUUCGUGGGUUGAAGUCUCCAUCAGCGUGGAUGUAUGAUAGCACCACCUAUCGGAACCACGGCUCAAAAAUUUCCGUGUCUCCAAAUUGCGUUUGCCUCCUCAAACUCCUCCCCUUUACCUUCAUACGCAAUUGUGUUACUUUCUGCUGCUAUACUCUAGAAUUGCAUGUGUAGGUUGAUUUCUUGACUUGUGCUAAGUUGCUAAAACCUGCCAAGAAUUAAAAUUAGGAAAAGGCUAAGCUUUUAUUUUGUCAAGUAGUCUAAUCACCCCCCCUCUAGACAUACUUUUGAUCCUACAAGUGGUAUCAGAGCCUUGGUCUCCAUUUGCUUUGAUUUCCAUAGCUUCUGGUAGUCAUAGCCUUGGUUUCACAACCUAGGAGAGUCUGGCGUCUAGGGAGGGAAAUUAUCACCAUAGAGAUCCUUAAUUUGAUGGUACUAAUAUUGCUAGUUGGAAUCAUAAGAUGAAAAUGCAUAUUCUUGGACAUAACCCUGCCGUAUGGGCUAUUAUGUGUAUUCGCUUGCAAGAUGAAUUCUUUGAUGGGAGAGAACCAAACCGUGAAGCUAGCGCAGAAGAGUUGAAUGUUGGGGAACGUAGCAGAAAUUCAAAAUUUUCCUAUGUGUCACCAAGAUCUAUCUAUGGAGAAACCAGCAACGAGGGGAAGGAGAGUGCAUCUACAUACCCUUGUAGAUCGCUAAGUGGAAGCGUUCAAGAGAACGGGGUUUAAGGAGUCGUACUCGUCGUGAUCCAAAUCACUGGAGAUCCUAGUGCCGAAUGGACGGCACCUCCGCGUUCAACACACGUACAGCCCGGUGACGUCUCCCACGCCUUGAUCCAGCAAGGAGAGAGGGAGAGGUUGAGGAAGACUCCGUCCAGCAGCAGCACAACGGCGUGGUGGUGGUGGAGGAGCGUGGCAAUCCUGCAGGGCUUCGCCAAGCACCGCGGGAGAGGAGAAGGGAGAGAGGUAGGGCUGCGCCAAGGAGAGGUCAAACUCACGUGUUGGCAGCCCCAAAAACCCUCAAGUAUAUAUAGGAGGAGAGGGGGGGCUGCGCCCCCACCUAGGGUUCCACCCUAGGGGCGGCGGCCAGCCCAAGAUCCCAUCUGGGGGGGCAAGGGGGGGAGAGGGGAAACUUGCCCCCCAAGUUAGGUGGGUGCGCCCCCUCCCCCAACCCUAGGCGCCUUGGGCCCUUGUGGGGGGGCGCACCAACCCACCUGGGGCUGGUCCCCUCCUACACUUGGCCCAUGCAGCCCUCCGGGGCCGGUGGCCCCACUUGGUGGACCCCCGGGAUCCUCCCGGUACGUUACCGACAAAACCCGAAACUUUUCCGGUGACCAAAACAGGACUUCCCAUAUAUAAAUCUUUACCUCCGAACCAUUCUGGAACUCCUCGUGACGUCCGGGAUCUCAUCCGGGACUCCGAACAACAUUCGGUAACCACAUACAAACUUCCUUUAUAACCCUAGCGUCAUCGAACCUUAAGUGUGUAGACCCUAUGGGUUCGGGAAUCAUGCAGACAUAACCGAGACGUUCUCCGGUCAAUAACCAACAGCGGGAUCUGGAUACCCAUGUUGGCUCCCACAUGUUCCAUGAUGAUCUCAUCGGAUGAACCACGAUGUCAAGGACUCAAUCGAUCCCGUAUACAAUUCCAUUUGUCUAACGGUAUUGUACUUGCCCGAGAUUCGAUUGUCGGUAUCCCGAUACCUUGUUCAAUCUCGUUACCGGCAAGUCUCUUUACUCGUUCCGUAACACAUCAUCCCGUUAUCAACCCCUUGGUCACAUUGUGCACAUUAUGAUGAUGUCCUACCGAGUGGGCCUAGAGAUACCUCUCCGUCAACCGGAGUGACAAAUCCUAGUCUCGAUUCGUGCCAACCCAACAGACACUUUCGGAGAUACCUGUAGUGCACCUUUAUAGCCACCCAGUUACGUUGUGAUGUUUGGUACACCCAAAGCAUUCCUACGGUAUCCGGGAGUUGCACAAUCUCAUGGUCUAAGGAAAUGAUACUUGACAUUAGAAAAGCUUUAGCAUAUGAACUACACGAUCUUGUGCUAGGCUUAGGAUUGGGUCUUGUCCAUCACAUCAUUCUCCUAAUGAUGUGAUCCCGUUAUCAAUGACAUCCAAUGUCCAUGGUCAGGAAACCGUAACCAUCUAUUGAUCAACGAGCUAGUCAUCUAGAGGCUUACUAGGGACUUGGUGUUGUCUAUGUACCCACACAUGUAUCUGAGUUUCCUAUCAAUACAAUUAUAGCAUGGAUAAUAAAUGAUUAUCAUGAACAAGGAAAUAUAAUAAUAACUAAUUUACUAUUGCCUCUAGGGCAUAUUUCCAACAGUCUCCCACUUGCACUAGAGUCAAUAAUCUAGUUCACAUUGCCAUGUGAUUAACAUUGACAGGUCACAUCGCCAUGUGACCAACAUCCAAAGAGUUUAGUAGUGUUACUAAACUAGUUCACAUCACCAUGUGAUUAAUACUCAAUGAGUUCUGGGGUUUGAUCAUGUUUUGCUUGUGAGAGAGGUUUUAUUCAAUGGGUCUGCAACAUUCAGAUCCGUGUGUACUUCACAAAUCUCUAGGUCAUAUUGUAAAUGUUGCUUCCACGCUCCACUUGAAGCUAUUCCAAAUGGUUGCUCCACUAUACGUAUCCGGUUUGCUACUCAGAGUCAUUCGGAUAGGUGUUAAAGCUUGCAUCAACGUAACCCUUUACGCCGAACUCUUUAUCACCUCCAUAAUCGAGAAACAUGUCCUUAUUUACUCCAAGGACAACUUUUGACCGCUGUCCAAUGAUCCCCAUUGCUGGAUCAUUCUUGUACCCCUUGACUGACUCACGGCAAGGCACACUUCUGGUGUGGUACACAGCAUAGCAUACUAUAGAGCCUACAUCUGAAACAUAGGGGACGACCUUCGUCCUUUGUCUCUCUUCUGCCGUGGUCGAGCUUUAACUCUUAACUUCAUACCUUACAACUCAGGCAAGAACUCCUUCUUUGACUGAUCCAUCUUGAACACCUUCAAGAUUAUGUCAAGGUAUGUGCUCAUUUGAAAGUAUUAUUAAACAUUUUGAUCUACCUUAUAGAUCUUGAUGCUUAUUGUUCAAGUAGCCUAAUCCAGGUUUUCCAUUGAAAAACAACCCUACAUGCUUUCCAGAAAUUCUACAUCAUUUCCAAUCAAUAAUAUGUCAACAACAUAUACUCAUCAGAAAUUCUAUAGUGCUCCCACUCACUUCUUUGGAAAUACAAGUUUCUCAUAAACUUUGUAUAAACCCAAAAUCUUUGAUCAGCUCAUCAAAGCGUACAUUCCAACUCCGAGAUGCUUACUCCAGUCCUAAGAAGUAUUGAUGGAGCUUUGCAUACUUAUUAGCGUCUUUCAUGAUUGAGAAAACCUUCUGGUUGUAUCACAUACAACCUUUCCUCAAGUAUAACAUCGAGGAAACAAUGUUUUGACAUCCUAUCUGCAAGAUUUCAUAAAUCAUGCAGUAAUUGCUAAUAUAAUUCCAACAGACUCUUAGCAUCGCUACGAGUGAGAAAGUCUCAUCGUGGUCAACUCCUUGAACUUGUCGGAAAACAUCUUAACGACAAGUCGAGCUUUCUUAAUGGUGAUACUUACCAUCAUUGUCUGUCUUCUUCUAAAAUCCAUCUAUACCCAAUAGCCUUACGACCAUCAAGUAGUUCUUCCAAAGUCUACACUUUGUUUUCAUACAUGGAUCCUUUCUCGGAUUUUAUGGCCUCGAGCCAUUCGUCGGAAUCUGGGCCCACCAUCGCUUCUCCAUAGCUCGUAGGUUCAUUGUUGUCUAGCAACAUGACCUCUAAGACAGGAUUGCGUACCACUCUGAAGUAGUACGCAUCCUUGUCACCCUACGAGGUACGGUAGUGACUUGAUCCGAAACUUCAUGAUCACUAUCAUAAGCUUCUACUUCAAUUGGUGUAGGCGCCACAGGAACAACUUCCUGUGCCCUGCUACACACUAGUUGAAGUGACGGUUCAAUAACCUCAUCAAGUCUCCACCAUCCUCCCACUCAAUUCUUUCGAGAGAAAACUUUUCCUCGAGAAAGGACCCGAUUCAAGAAACAAUUCCUAUUGCUUUCGAAUCUGAAUUAGGAGGUAUACCCAACUGUUCUGGGUGUCCUAUGAAGAUGCAUUUUAUCCUCUUUGGGUUCGAGCUUAUCAACCUGAAACUUUUUCACAUAAGCGUCGCAGCCCCAAACUUUUAAGAAACGACAACUUAGGUUUCUCCAAACCAUAGUUCAAAUGGUGUCAUCUCAACGGAAUUACGUGGUGCCCUAUUUAAGUGAGUGCGGUUGUCUCUAAUGCCUAACCCAUGAACGAUAGUGGUAAUUUGAUAAGAGACAUCAUGGUAUGCACCAUAUCCAAUAAGGUGCAACUAUGAUGUUCAGACACACCACCACACUAUGGUGUUCCAGGCGGUAUUUCUUGUGAAACAAUUUCCACAAUGUCUUAAUUGCGUGCCAAAGCUCAUAACUCAGAUACUCAUCUCUAUGAUCAUAUCAUAGAUAUUUUAUCCUUUUGUCACGAUGAUCUUCAACUUCACUCUGAAAUUACUUGAACCAUUCAAUAAUUCAGACUUGUGUUUCAUCAAGUAAACAUACUCAACAUCUACUCAAAUCAUCUAUGAAGUAAGAACAUAACGAUAUUCACUGCGUGCCUCGGCACUCAUUGGACAGCACACAUCAGAAUGUAUUACUUCCAACAAGUUGCUACCUUGUUCCAUCUUACUGAAAACGAGGCUUUUCAGUCAUCUUGCCUAUGUGGUAUGAUUUGCAUAUCUCAAGUGAUUCAAAAUCAAGUGAGUCCAAACGAUCCAUCUGCAUGGAGUUUCUUCAUGCGUAUACACCAAUAGACAUGGUUUGCAUGUCUCAAACUUUUCAAAAUGAGUGAGUCCAAAGAUCCAUCAACAUGGAGCUUCUUCAUGCGUUUUACACCAAUAUGACUUACAUGGCAGUGCCACAAGUAAGUGGUACUAUCAUUACUAUCUUAUAUCUUUUGGCAUGAAAAUGUGUAUCACUACGAUCGAGAUUCAAUAAACCAUUCCUUUAGGUGCAAGACCAUUGAAGGUAUUAUUCAAAUAAAUAGAGUAACCAUUAUUCUCCUUAAAUGAAUAACCGUAUUGCGAUAGACACAAUCCAAUCAUGUCUAUGCUCAACGCAAACACCAGAUGACAAUUAUUCAGGUUUAAUACUAAUCUUGAUGGUAGAGGGAGCGUGUGAUGUUUUAUCACAUCAACCUUGGAAACACUUCAAACACAUAUCGUCAGCUCACCUUUAGCUAGUCUCCGUUUAUUCCAUAGCUUUUAUUUCGAGUUACUAACACUUAGCAACCGAACCAGUAUCUAAUACCCUGGUGCUACUAGGAGUACUAGUAAAGUACACAUUAACAUAAUUUAUAUCCAAUAUACUUCUAUCGACCUUGCCAGCCUUCUUAUCUACCAAGUAUCUAGGGUAAUCCUGCUCUAGUGGUUGUUCCCCUUAUUACAGAAGCACUUAGUCUUGGGUUUAGGUUCAACCUUGGGUUUCUUCACUGGAGCAGCAACUGAUUUGCCGUUUCAUGAAGUGUCCCUUCUUGCCCUUGCCCUUCUUGAAACUAGUGGUUUCACUAACCAUCAACAAUUGAUGCUCCUUCUUGAUUUCUACUUUCGUGGUGUCAAACAACGUGAAUACCUCAAGGAUCAUCAUGUCUAUCCCUGAUAUGCUAUAGUUCAUCACGAAGCUCUAGCAGCUUGGUGGCAAUAACUUUGGAGAAACAUCACUAUCUCAUCUGGAGGAUCAACUCCCACUCGAUUCAAGUGAUUAUUGCACUCAGACAAUCUGAGCACAGGCUCAACAGUUGAGCAUUUCUCCCUUAGUUUGCAGGCUAAGAAAAUCGUCGGUGGUCUUAUACCUAUUGAUGUGGGCACGAGCCUGAAAUCCCAAUUUCAGCCCUCGAAACAUCUCAUAUGUUCCGCGACGUUUCAAAAACGUCUUUGGUGCCUCAAUUCUAAACCGUUUAACUAAACCAUCACGUAGUUAUCAAAACGUGUGUGUCCGAUGUUCGUAACAUCCACAAACGACGUUUGGGGUUCAGCACACUGAGCGGUGCAUUAAGGAUAUAAGCUUUCUACUGUCCGCAUAAUCGCUACUAUCGACUUUCAACUAUAUUUUCUCUAGGAACAUAUUUAAACAGUGGAACCAAAGCGCGAGCUUACGACAUAAUUUGCAAAGAUCUUUUGACUAUGUUCAGGAUAAUUAAGUUCAUCUCAUGAACUCCCACUCAGAUAGACAUCCCUCUAGUCAUCUAAGUGAUUAAAUGAUCCGAGUCAACUAGGUCGUGUCCGAUCAUCACGUGAGACGGACUAGUCAUCAUCGGUGAACAUCUUCAUGUUGAUCAUAUCUACUAUACGACUCAUACUCGACCUUUCGGUCUCUUGUAUUCCGAGGCCAUAUCUGUACAUGCUAGGCUCGUCAAGUUAACCUAAGUGUUUCGCGUGCGUAAAUCUGGCUUACACCCGUUGUAUGUGAACGUAAGAAUCUAUCACACCGGUCAUCACGUGGUGCUUCGAAACGACGAACUUUCGCAACGGUGCAUAGUUAGGGGGAACACUUUCUUGAAAUUUUAAUGAGGGAUCAUCUUAUUUACUACCGUCGUUCUAAGCAAAUAAGAUGCAGAAACAUGAUAAACAUCACAUGCAAUCAAAAUAGUGACAUGAUAUGGCCAAUGUCAUUUUGCUCCUUUUGAUCUCCAUCUUCGGGGCUCCAUGAUCAUCAUCGUCACCGGCAUGACACCAUGAUCUCCAUCAUCGUGUCUCCAUGAAGUUGUCUCGCCAACUUAUUACUUCUCUACUAUGGCUACCGGUUAGCAAUAAAGUAAAGUAAUUACAUGGCGUUGUUCAAUGACACGCAGGUCAUACAAUAAAUAAAGACAACUCCUAUGGCUCCUGCCGGUUGUCAUACUCAUCGACAUGCAAGUCGUGAUUCCUCUUACAAGAACAUGAUCAAUCUCAUACAUCACAUAUCAUUCAUCACAUUCUUCUUGGCCAUAUCACAUCACAUAGCAUACCCUGCAAAAACAAGUUAGACGUCCUCUAAUUGUUGUUUGCAUGUUUUAUGUGGCUGCUAUGGGUUUCUAGCAAAAACGUUUCUUACCUACGCAUAACCACAACAUGAUAUGCCAAUUGCUAUUUACCAUUCAUAAGGACCCUUUUCAUCGAAUCCGUUCCGACUAAAGUGGGAGAGACUGGCACCCGCUAGCCACCUUAUGCACCAAGUGCAUGUCAGUCGGUGGAACAUGUCUCACGUAAGUGUACGUGUAAGGUCGGUCCGGGCCGCUUCAUCCCACAAUACCGUCGAAACAAGAUUGGAGUAGUAAUGGUAAGCAUAUUGAACAAAAUCAACGCCCACAACUACUUUAUGUUCUACUCGUGCAAAGAAUCUACGCAAUAGACCUAGCUCUGAUACCACUGUUGGGAAACAUAGCAGAAAUUCAAAAUUUUCCUAUGUGUCACCAAGAUCUAUCUAUGGAGAAACCAGCAACAAGGGGAAGGAGAGUGCAUCUACAUACCCUUGUAGAUCGCUAAGCGGAAGCGUUCAAGAGAACGGGGUUGAAGGAGUCGUACUCGUCGUGAUCCAAAUCACCGGAGAUCCUAGUGCCAAAUGGACGGCACCUCCGCGUUCAACACACAUACAGUCCGGUGACGUCUCCCACGCCUUGAUCAAGCAAGGAGAGAGGGAGAGGUUGAGGAAGACUCCGUCUAGCAGCAGCACAACGGCGUGGUGGUGGUGGAGGAGUGUGGCAAUCCUGCAGGGCUUCGCCAAGCACCACGGGAGAGGAGAAGGGAGAGAGGUAGGGCUGCGCCAAGGAGAGGUCAAACUCACGUGUUGGUAGCCCCAAAAACCCUCAAGUAUAUAUAGGGGGAGAGGGGGGGCUGCGCCCCCACCUAGGGUUCCACCCUAGGGGCGGCGGCCAGCCCAAGAUCCCAUCUGGGGGGCGGCCAAGGGGGGGAGAGGGGAAACUCGCCCCCCAUGUUAGGUGGGUGCGCCCCCUCCCCCAACCCUAGGCGCCUUGGGCCCUUGUGGGGGGGCGCACCAGCCCACCUGGGGCUGGUCCCCUCCCACACUUGGCUCAUGCAGCCCUCCGGGGCUGGUGGCCCCACUUGGUGGACCCCCGGGACCCUCCCGGUGGUCCCGGUACGUUACCGACAAAACCCGAAACUUUUCCGGUGACCAAAACAGGACUUCCCAUAUAUAAAUCUUUACCUCCGGACCAUUCCGGAACUCCUCGUGACGUCCGGGAUCUCAUCCGGGACUCCGAACAACAUUCGGUAAUCACAUACAAACUUCCUUUAUAAUCCUAGCGUCAUCGAACCUUAAGUGUGUAGACCCUACGGGUUCGGGAAUCAUGCGGACAUGACCGAGACGUUCUCUGGUCAAUAACCAACAGCGGGAUCUGGAUACCCAUGUUGGCUCCCACAUGUUCCACGAUGAUCUCAUCGGAUGAACCACAAUGUCAAGGACUCAAUCGAUCCCAUAUACAAUUCCCUUUGUCUAAUAGUAUUGUACUUGCCCGAGAUUCGAUCGUCGGUAUCUCGAUACCUUGUUCAAUCUCGUUACUGGCAAGUCUCUUUACUCGUUCCGUAACACAUCAUCCCGUGAUCAACCCCUUGGUCACAUUGUGCACAUUAUGAUGAUGUCCUACCGAGUGGGCCCAGAGAUACCUCUCCGUCAACCGGAGUGACAAAUCCCAGUCUCGAUUCAUGCCAACCCAACAGACACUUUCGGAGAUACCUAUAGUGCACCUUUAUAGCCACCCAGUUAUGUUGUGACGUUUGGUGCACCCAAAGCAUUCCUACGGUAUCCGGGAGUUGCACAAUCUCAUGGUCUAAGGAAAUGAUACUUGACAUUAGAAAAGCUUUAGCAUAUGAACUACACGAUCUUGUGCUAGGCUUAGGAUUGGGUCUUGUCCAUCACAUCAUUCUCCUAAUGAUGUGAUCCCGUUAUCAAUGACAUCCAAUGUCCAUGGUCAGGAAACCAUAACCAUCUAUUGAUCAAUGAGCUAGUCAUCUAGAGGCUUACUAGGGACUUGGUGUUGUCUAUGUACCCACACAUGUAUCUGAGUUUCCUAUCAAUACAAUUAUAGCAUGGAUAAUAAAUGAUUAUCAUGAUCAAGGAAAUAUAAUAAUAACUAAUUUAUUAUUGCCUCUAGGGCAUAUUUCCAACAUCGAAGAUGCUGAAAUACAACGCUCAAGCUUGUGAUAUCCUCUUCAACGAAUUGUGCCCCAAAGAAUUCAACAAAAUCAACCGUCUUGAGAAUGCAAAGGAAAUUUGGGACACUUUGACUGACAUGCAUGAAGGUACCGACUCCUUCAAGGAAUCCAAAUUGGAUGUGCUUCAAAGUCAAGUUGACAAGUUCAAGAUGAAGGAUGGUGAAGGCGUCGCUGAAAUGUACUCUAGGCUUGCUCUCAUCACAAUUGAGAUUGCCGGCUUAGGAAGUGAAGAGAUGACCGACAAAUUUAUCAUCAAGAAGAUCCUAAGAGACUUGGAUGGAAAAUAUGAUAAUGUGUGCACAUUGAUCCAAAUGAUGCCCAAUUACAAGGAUCUCAAGCCAACGGAGGUCAUUGGAAGAAUUGUUGCUCAUGAGAUGUCACUCAAGGAUAAGGAAGAGCUCCAUAACAAGUCAAGUGGUGCUUACAAAGCCUCUUGUGAAGCUCCCACAUCAUCAAGUGAGAAAUGAACCUUCAAUGAAGAAUUGAGCCUAAUGGUGAAGAAUUUCAACAAGUUCUACAAGAGUAGGGCAAGGAAAGAAGUUCCAAGUCAAGGUCCUACAAUGACAAAAGAUCUUCAAGUCGAGAGCGUAAUUGCUACAAUUGUGGAAGACCCGGACACUAUUCCAAUGAGUGUAUGGCUCCCUACAAGAGAAGAGAAGAGUCACCUAAGAGAAUAAGUAGAAGAGAAGAAUCACCACCAAGAGAGAGAAGGAGUAGAGAUGAUCGUUAUGAAUGAAGAACAUCUCGGAGGAGCAAGGAUUCAGAAAGGAAGGAAAAAUCAUCAAAGAGCUACACAAAACGAAGACAUCAAGCUCAUGUUGGUGAAUGGGUAUCCGGCUCCGACUCCGAACAUCACUCCGAGAGAAGCUAUCACUCUGAUUCAUAACAUACUCAAGAUGAAGGUGUUGCCGGUCUAGCACUUGUGUCAACCAACUCCUACGACAUAUUUGAUUCACCAAACGAAGGACUUGGAAGAUGCUUCAUGGCUAAAGGCCCUAAGGUAUUACACCCCGAGUAUGUUGAUUUUAAUAGUGAUGAAGUUGACUUGCUAGGUGAUGAUGAUUUACUUGUUGACAACUCUAGUGAUGAAUACUAUGAUGAAACGUCAAUUAAUCAUGCUAAUCAAGAUAAAACGAAUGACAAUGAUAAGGAGAAGAUUGAUCUUCUAACUAAAGAACUAAACACUCUUAAGUUAGCUCAUGAAACUAUCUUAGGAGAUCAUCAAGAACUUUUAAGGACUCAUGAGAAAUUACAUUUUGAAAAGCUCAACCUUGAGCAAGAACAUGAGUUUUUAAAAGCUAUCAAUGAUGAUAUUAGCAAGAAAAGUUCUUCUUACAUUGCCAAGCGUUUACUUUUAUCUACUUACAUGCCUCAAGUCAAGUCUAGUAACAAGAACAAGAAAGAUUCUUCCUCUAGUAGUAGCAACAAUCAUCAUGCUAAAUCCAAUGUUGUUGCUUCUAGUAGUUCUCUUGAUUCCACUAAUGAUUCUCUUAGCCAAGUUACACUUGAGCAAGAAAACAGCUUAUUGAAGGGAAUUAUAGAGAAAGGUGUCUACAAGAGCCUUGCCGGAAGUAAGCAAUUCGAGUAAAUUGUACGCAAGCAAGGAAGGCACCGGAAGAACCAAGGUGUUGGUUUUGAACGAAAGUUCAAUGCCAAUGGAGUUGAGUGGGAAGAAGAUCAAUACCCCAAGAUGAAGUUUGUUCCUCAACAAGAGAAGUAUGAUCCUACUUCUUUCAAAGGGACACAAGCACAAGAUGAUCUUCCACCACAAGACCACAAGCAGAAAGGCAAGGACAAGCUUCAAGAGGAUAUUGAUGCAUUUGAAGAAGCUCCUAAGGCCUUGGUCAAGUGGGUUCCCAAGACUACAUCAAGUUCCACUUCAUCAAGUACGACUACGACUCCAAGGAUUCCCAUCAAGAUGGUGUGGAUCCCGAAGAAGAAGAACUAGAAAGUUCUUGAGGGUGACUCCGCCAACAUACUUCACUCUUAUCAUUUUGGCGAGGACAAGUGAAACCAACUUCCACAUCUUGCGCUAGUUCAUGGAGUCACAAACCCUCUUGUUGGUAAGACAAGGGACAAGGUAACCCAAUGCUUUCAUAGACAUCAUCUUGUGUGUGCAUCACUCUAUGUCUAUGAAUAUCCUUGUUUGUUCCUUGUGGGACUAACCCGUGUAGGUAUUGAAAGUGCAACUCACUCCAAAGUAUUGCUCCAAAAGAUCUACACCAACAUAGAGCAUCCACAUCUUCAACACCUACAUGAAGUCAACAUCGACAAAACCCAAGGUUAGUUCAUCCCUCUUAGGGGGGAUCUCACAUCUAGGGGAGCUUUACUCUAAGAAUUGAGCCAAAGAAACUCUAAUGAUGUGAACACAUCAAUGCAUUAUGUAAAAGUGGCAACCCCACUUGAGCUUAAACGAUGAGUAUGACCUACGAUCAAAUGUUCUCAUUUGACUCCUAAGUCAAAAUACUCAUAUAUAGAUGACCUAGUCAUCGCCAAUUGCUUGAUAGAUGCUAGAAUUGGUUGUGCAUGCUUUGUCACAUAUUUUAUCUGCUAUUUUAUUGUGUCAGCAUAUCGUUUGCAUAUUUUACUCAUUCGAGGACAUCCACUUGUAGUUUUGCUUGUUUGGCUUCUUUUCUUUUUGCCAAGUGGAUGGACAAGAAUGCCUAAGUACCCUCUCUAGCUAUCUAUGCUAUUCUUGUAUCAAACUAUAUUCAUGCUACAUCACAAAGUUUGAUCAAGUCAGAUUCGAACCACUCUGUGUGAGGGGCACUCAGAGUCUCCGAUUUGUCCUAGACUUAAAACUUCCAAAACUUCUUCGUCCGUUUCGGUCUGACCGAUUCAUCCUUUUUGGUCAUACCGAGAUCACUAAGUCGAUCUAGGUUUUCAACCUCGGUGCAACCGAUUUGAACUUUUCGGUCACACCGAGUUGCAGCCACUGCUUGCAGUUAUGCAUAUUGAUGCCACAGAGUCGUUCCACUCGGUCACACUGACAGGGUCAGGCUAUAUAUACCCCUGGCCAAAAUUUGGAAAUUUCUCUAAAUCCCUUCGCCCACGCUCAGCCUGCUCUGCCUCCCUGGGUCUCCGGAUUGUCCUCCUCGUCGCCAGCCGCCUCCCGCCGCUGGUCUCUGCCGCCGUCAACGGAAAUCGUCUCCGCCGUUUCCGCCGUAGCAAGUACACCGCCGAACUUAGGGUAUGGACUUGAUCCUUGUACUAAUCUCAUUCUGAUUCCUAGCACAUUAUUUUGCCAUGUAACUUGCCACAAUUGAGAUCGUACUAUCCAGCGAAAUAGAUUAGUUUCGAUUAAGAAUUUAGGGUUAGGUUUCGGCCAAAAUCAUCUCGGACCAACUGAGUUGUGGAAAUCGGUUCCACCGAUUUGGCUUAGGCCAUUGCACAUGUGAUUCUCGGUCUGACCGAGAAUUGCAAAUCGGUGUGACCGAGUUCAGGACUUUGUGAAACCCUAGCAGUCUUGGUGCCACCGAACUGUGACUCGGUCUGACCGAGUUCACUAGUUUAGGUUCCAAAAGCUGCUUCGGUAUCACCUAGUUUAUAAAUCGGUAGAUCCGAAAUGCUUUCUGUGGAAAACUAAAACCAAGUUUUUAACUCAUUCUUUUGUAAAAACCUCUGUGAUUUGUGAUGCUCAUCCCCUCUAUCUCAUAUAUAUCUAUUCACAGGGUCUGCUGUCAGAGUUUGCACUAUGUCAGAUCAGAGUGACAGCCAGAACAGAGAUGAAGAGUAAGUUCACUUGAGUGAGGGCACUAGUCCCUCCAGUUCCUCAGAUGAGGGCAGCAGGAGCACACCCAACAACUUGCCAAAGGCUGCCACCAGGGCCAGAAAGAAGAGAACCUCAGAUUCAGAAGAUGAGGACUAUGUGGCAGAAGAGGAUGAAGCCACAUCCAGGAAGGUGCUGAAGAAAGAAUAUGGCACAGCUGCUGCCACCAAGCCUGGCAAGAACAGGAAUGUUCCAGCCAAGAGAACACCUAUGUUGAAGUUCAGAGGAUCAACUCAAGAGAAUUUGGGAUCUGAACCCAAAGAGCAAGAAGUGGCUGAAAAGAAAAGGAAAGAAAGAGCUAAGAAGACUAUGGCCAGAGUAGUUGGAAAACCCUCUAUGAUGGAAGAAGAGGAAGAGGUUGCUGCACCAGCACCUAAAGCUCAAAAGCUUAUGGGAGAUGCUAUAAGAUCAGGGGCUGCUCCAUCAAAGCCCAAAGAAGCUCCCAAGGCAGCUGCACCUAAGCCUAAAGCUGCACCCAAAAGGAACACCGGGAGUAUUCCUGCUGCAGAGAAGAACAAGGCCCCAGUGCCUGAAGCUGCUGAAGAAGAAGAAGAUGAUGAGUCACAUGUCUUGAGGAAGUUGAAGCCCAAAAUUCUAGAUCACAAUGAUGCUCAUCCAGUAGAUGAGGACAUGAAGCUAAGGAAGGAUGCAGGACUCAGACAAUGGAGAUUGACAGAUCCUUAUGCUGUCAGGAGAAGGACUGCUGUGGACUACAAGUUCCAUACAAAGGAACAACAGGACUUCUAUGAGAUAGUGCUGCUUGAUUAGAAGCCAAUUGUCUGUGAUAUGAGAUCGGUGGACUGGGAGUACAUCAGGAAAAAUGAAGAGCAUUAUCCUGGAGUUUAGGAUAGUUUCAAGUCUUGUGGGGUAGAUGACUUUGUUGGGCAGAAGCUCACAAAGUGGAAUGAUGAGCUUAUUAUGCAGUUCUACUCCACAGCUCAUUUCUACCCAGAUGGAAGGAUUGUCUGGAUGUCUGAAGGUACUAGGUACCAAUCAUCAGUUGAAGAAUGGGAAAAUUGAUCAAUGCUCCUAAGAAGAAUAAAGAUGACUUGGAUGUCUAUGCCAAGAAGAAGAAGGAUCACAACUCCAUGGCACACAUGUACAGAGAGAUCCCAAAUGCUGCUCUUGAAACUCAUAAGUUUGGAUUAGUACACUAUCUGAUGUCCAGACUGCCAACAAUCAAUUGGAUCCUCAGGCAUACUCAGUUGCCAAAGUUAGGUGAUCACAAGAUGAUCAGAGGCCAUGCAAUUAAUUUGCUUCACAUAUUUGAUGUGCCUCAAAAGUUCAAAGUCAUGAGCUUAAUUGUUGAGACUAUCAAGAGGACAGCUGCUGACCAGAAGAGAAGUUGUGGGUAUGCCCCACAGAUUCAGGAGCUCAUCAACUCCAAGAUGGGCACUGACACUUACCUUUUGGACAAGGAACACCUGCCCAUCUACCCAGACUUUGAGGAGAACACUGUAGUGAUGGAUGAGAAUGAACCAUCAUCUGUGCAAACACAAGAAAAGAAGGAGAAAGCAAGGACACGGAAGGCUGCAAAGAUGCCAACCAUUGAUGAGGCAUCUUAGUAUUUCCUGAAGAGCAAGCAAGAUCAGCUUGGCUACUUGAUUGCCUCCACUCUGAGGAUUGAGAAGGGUUCGGCCACCCUGACACAAAACCAGGAGAGCUUGAAGAGAAUCAUGGAGCUGAAGUUCUAUGAUUUAGAAGUGAAGGUCACUGAGAUACAGUCAGUUGUUGAGCAACUACAGGAGGAAAUGGAGGAGAAGAAGGUCAAGUCUACCACAGAUACAUUUGCUAGAGUGCCCAGAGGCCAGAAAUCUGCUGUAGUGCCAGUGACAGACACCAGAGCAACUUCAUCAACACCAGCAACAGCUUCAGUGCCACCAGCUCUAGUAGCCACUCCACCAGCUCCAUCAACCUCAACUGAUGCCUUCGUCCUUGGAGUCAUUUCUACACCACCACAUCAAGACCAAGCCUGAGAGUCGAUUUAGCACUAUGCAUUUUUAUGAACUUUUUGGUAACUUGUUGCCAAAGGGGGAGAAAAUGUAUAGAUCAUAGGCUUCAAGAGAGAGUGUUGCCUUUGUUCUCUCUUGUUCUUGGUGGUUGAACUUUAUUUGUUUGCUUGUUUGAGAUACAUUCUGCGUUUGUGUGAUACUUGAAUGAUCAUGUGUUUGAUCAUAUGCUAUGCUACAUUAAUGCUUGUUGGAUGAUAUUAUCUCUUAUAUCCUCGUAUGAUCAUUUACUUUGCUUGGUGAUGAGUGCAUGUAUUUAAUUAUUAUCAUUAUUAUCAUUUUGAGCGCUCCACCAAGAUGUAUGUGACAUGGAAGAGUAACCCAUGAUCCCAAUUCAUUGUCCAUUUGCAGUCCAAAGCAAAUCUUAAACUAUGCACAAAUUUAGGGGGAGCUCUUGUUUUUCACAUACUUCUCAAAGCGAUAAUGUUUUCAAUCUUAUUAUAACUUGUCAAAGCUUUGAUCUAUAUGUUGUUAUCAAUUACCAAAAAGGGGGAGAUUGAAAGUGCAACUAUCCCUAGGUGGUUUUCGUAAUUCCUAACAACAUAUAGCUCAUUGAGCUAAUGCUAUCCCAAGAUAAAUAUUUCAGGAAAGCUCAAUAAUUGGCAUGGCAUGGAUGAGAAAAGUGCACCCCUCAAAAUUCUAAGGACAAAAGGAUUGGCUCAAGCUCAAAGUUCAAGACUCUGCAUUUUCUAUUUUAAGUGAUCCAAGAUCACAUUGAGUCUAUAGGAAAAGCCAAUACAAUCAAGGAAGGAUGAGGUGUUGCUUAAUGAGGUUCUUGCUCAAAGUGAUUAGUGAUAUGCUCAAAAGCCCUCAAUUACUUUCUCACAUCCACAUAUGACCUAAACCAAAAGUCAAACUCGGCCCCACUGAUUCUUUCUAUCCGGCGCCACCGAGUUUCAGAUGUCAUAGCCACUGCUAGAAACCCUAGGCAAAUCGGUCUCACUCAUAGGGAUCUCGGUCUCACCGAGAUGGGAUUGUAAUCUCUCUAUUUCACUUCGUAACGUUUCGGUCCCACCAAGAUGAGCGAUCGGUCCCACCGAGAUUGAAUGUAAACUCUCUGUUUCCUUUUCGUAACGUUUCGGUCCAACCGAGAUGAGCGAAUCGGUCCCACCGAGUUUACCUGACCAACUCUCUGGUUAGCUUAUUACCAAAAUCGGUCUCACCGAGUUUCUGUAAUCGGUCUCACUGAGAUUACGUUAUGCCCUAACUCUAACCAUAUCGGUCCUACCGAGUUGCAUGUCGGUCCCGCCGAAAACCCUAACGAUUCACUAGAUUUACUGAAUUGGUCUGACCGAGUUUCUCAAUUCGGUCCUACCGAGAUUGGUAAGUUGUGUGUAACGGUUAGAUUUUGUGAGGAGGCUAUAUAUAUACCCCUCCACCUCCUCUUCAUUCGUGGAGAGAGCCAUCAGAACGUGCCUACACUUCCAACUUACAUUUUCUGAGAAAGAACCACCUACACUUGUGUUGAGGUCAAGAUAUUCCAAUCCUACCAUAUGAAUCUUGAUCUCUAGCCUUCCCCAACUUUCUUUCCACUCAAAUCUUCUUUCCACCAAAUCCAUAUCCUGUGAGAGAGAGGUGAGUGUUGGGGAGACUAUCAUUUGAAGCACAAGAGCAAGGAGUUCAUCAUCAACACACCAUUUGUUACUUAUUGGAGAGUGGUGUCUCCUAGAUUGGCUAGGUGUCACUUGGGAGCCUACGACAAGAUUGUGGAGUUGAACCAAGGAGUUUGUACGGGCAAGGAGAUCGCCUACUUCGUGAAGAUCUACCCCUAGUGAGGCAAGUCCUUCGUGGGCGACGGCCAUGGUGGGAUAGACAAGGUUGCUACUUCAUGGACCCUUCGUGGGGGGAGCCCUCCGUGGACUCGCGCAACCGUUACCCUUCGUGGGUUGAAGUCUCCAUCAACGUGGAUGUACGAUAGCACCACCUAUCGGAACCACGGCUCAAAAAUCUCUGUGUCUCCAAAUUGCGUUUGCCCCCUCAAACUCCUCCCCUUUACCUUCAUAUGCAAUUGUGUUACUUUCCGCUGCUAUACUCUAGAAUUGCAUGUGUAGGUUGAUUUCUUGACUUGUGCUAAGUUGCUAAAACAUGCCAAGAAUUAAAAUUGGGAAAAGGCUAAGCUUUUAUUUUGUCAAGUAGUCUAAUCACCCCCCUCCCCCCCUCUAGACAUACUUUCGAUCCUACACCGACCUCCUCCGCCUCGCCAGCGUCCAGCCCCGCCCCGACCACCUCCGCCUCGCCGCCGUCCAGCCCAGCCCUCAGCUCCUUCAUCACGAUCGCCCUGCCUCGCCUCGCUGCUGCCGCGCCACACCCGCGCAGCAGCCCACCGUGCGCGCCCUGGCCACGCCGCGCCAGCGCAGUAGCUCCUUCGUCGGCCUCCAGCGACCCCUCCGUCGGCCUCACCGGCGCAGUAGCUCCUCCGUCGGCCUCGCCGCUGCCGCACCACGCCCCCAGCAGCCCACCGCGCGCGCCCUGGCCACUCCAACUGCGGCCCCUGCAAGGGCUGUCGUCCAGUCGGCCUCCAGCGCGGGGCGCGUCCAGGGGAGCGCGUCGACGUGCAGGGCCGUGUGGCGUGCGCGUCCGUGUCUCGCCGUGCGCGUCUGCGUCUCGCCGUGUGCGUCCCGCCCCCGAGCUCCUCCGCCUCGCCGCCAUCCCGCCCCGUCCUCAGCUCCUCCAUCGCCGCCGCCCUGCCCCGCCCAACGCCUCACGCUCCAGCGGCCACACGCUCGGGUUCGCACACUGCUCCUCCUUCCAGAGCCGCAUCCACGGCUUCCGGCGCCGGCGGCAGCGCGCCACGCCCAGCCCGCGCCCCGGUGGUCGGCGCCGCACGCCCCGGCGGCUGCGCGCCAUGUCCAGCCCGUGCCCCAGCGGCCGCGUGUCUCGUCCAGCCUCUCGGUCUCAAUGAUUUGUGGGCCAGAGGGAAGGCACGGGCGGAUAAGAGCGGACGAGAGGGGUGAGGAGAGUGUCCGUUUUCUGUCCGUUCGGGAUCAUUCUUGGACCAAGUUUGCUCCACGUUUGGGGUUGGUCCGGACAAAAAAAGUGUCCAACGGACAACUCUAUCCAUUUGGGUAUUAUCGUAGUGUCGUAUUUUACCCCAAACGGACAAAUUCGGACCGGAUGGGUCACGCGCUGGAGUUGGCCUUACCAACUGGGACCAAAGGCCCUCCUGUCGGGGCUCAUCGCAGCGGCCACGUGGAGCCCCACCUGUCCCGAUUCAUGAGCGAACCGGGACUAAAGGUCAUGGGCUUUAGUCCCAACCCUUUAGUCCCGGUUCCAGAACCGGGACAAAUGGACCUCUGGAAUCGGGACAAAUGGACCUUUUUCCACUAGUGGGUGUACAUGAGAGCGUGGCUUAAUAAGAAUGAUAGACUACUCAUAUCAACAACUUCUUUCCUGGUAGCUCAUUCACAAAGAACCCUAAAGUUAAGUGUACUUGGUUUGAAGCGAUUUGAGGAUGGGUGACCGGCUGGUAAGUUGAUCCCGGUUGCGCAGGAGUGAGGACAAAGUGUGCAGAAAAGACUAGUGUUAGUCUGCGGGGCUGGUCUAGAUCCCGCCAGACGUAACGGACGGGAACUGAUGGUUGUGGCCGGGGCGUUAACAAUGGCAGUAAAACUUGGAACAAAGUUAUAACUUAGGACAAAAAAUGAAAUUAACUCUAAUAGAAAAUUCAGAAAGUAAAGAAACAGACAAGUGUAUUAUAUCUUGCAACCAGCGAGCGAGCGAGAAACGCAAGUUCAGAUAAAGAGUCGUAAGUUUCACCGACUAAAACUUAAAACUUAUUAUAUCCUCAUGCGAGAUUAAACUACUUUGCGAACACGAAACAAUUGAGCAGCCGGGCAGGUCCGGUAGAUGGGGGUGUGUGGUACGUGGCCUUGGAUAACAAUUUCGUAAGUUCACUGUGCGUACAUAAGUAAACGAAGGGGAGAUGAUAGUGGGCUAGUGGCUGCUUCAAAGACUACCACCACGUACGAACGUUCAGCGAUGCUCCACGUCCGGUAAUGUACCGGUUUCCAUACGCAGAAGAAGACAUCCGAUCCAGAAUAUGCUCUCGGCUGAUUUGGAUGUGCAUGCGUCCGUGUCUAACUUGACCCACAGCUGAUUAAUGAGAUUGAUGCGUUGCGUGCAUGCAAUGGAAGACGCCGGGUACGACUUCGUCUUCGCACGAACAGUGCCCGCCUGCACUGCACCGCGCAUAGUCCAGUUAAGUCAGAGGCUGGCGCCAUUGGUAGUCCUGCAGAUGAUGCGAGCUUAGCUUACUUGCAUGCUAGAUUGCUGGGAUGCAUAAAUGUGUACCGCCCACCGUCCAACCACCACCGCUCCACGGGGUCCGCGUUGCCGACGACACCUAUGGAGACCCCAGCGUCAACUUGCUCACCUCACACUCACUGCUCCUCCCCAGCUAGCCAUCUUAUCCAAGCCCUCCAUUGGCCUCUCCCUCCUAUAAAUAGGCUUGCUCUGCAUGCUAAUCCAUAUCGUCAAUCACAUCACACUAGCCACUAGAAGCACCGGAGAAGAGGGUGUCAAGCAUGGCGUCCAAGGGUCUUCUUGUGUUUGCUCUCCUGCUUGCUGCUGCUAUCCUCGUCGCCUCAACUGAACAAACUCGUGAGCUAACGCGCUAAUGAUCUCGGAGUACUUUUGAACUAGCAUGAAUUAACUGAUCGUCAUUACGCUAAGAAUCUUGCUUUGCUGCGUGCUGCUACUAAUUUGAAUGCACAGUGUUUUUCUGUCCAUGCAGAGGCCAAGAAGGAGGAGAAAGCCGGCGUAGAGGGCUACGACGGCGGCGGUGGCUACCCUGGCGGCGGCGGCGGCGGCUACCCAGGCCACGGUGGAGGAGGAGGAGGCGGCGGCUACCCAGGACACGGUGGAGGAGGUGGCGGCGGCUACCCAGGCCACGGUGGAGGANNNNNNNNNNNNNNNNNNNNNNNNNNNNNNNNNNNNNNNNNNNNNNNNNNNNNNNNNNNNNNNNNNNNNNNNNNNNNNNNNNNNNNNNNNNNNNNNNNNNNNNNNNNNNNNNNNNNNNNNNNNNNNNNNNNNNNNNNNNNNNNNNNNNNNNNNNNNNNNNNNNNNNNNNNNNNNNNNNNNNNNNNNNNNNNNNNNNNNNNNNNNNNNNNNNNNNNNNNNNNNNNNNNNNNNNNNNNNNNNNNNNNNNNNNNNNNNNNNNNNNNNNNNNNNNNNNNNNNNNNNNNNNNNNNNNNNNNNNNNNNNNNNNNNNNNNNNNNNNNNNNNNNNNNNNNNNNNNNNNNNNNNNNNNNNNNNNNGUGGCGGCGGCGGCGGCGGCUACCCAGGCGCUGGCGGCGGCGGCGGCGGCUACCCCGGACACGGCGGUGGCGGCGGCGGUGGCUACCCUGGACACGGCGGAGGCGGAGGCGGCAGUGGAUGUCAUUGGGGCUGCUGCGGUCACGGGUACCAUGGCUGCCGCUGCUGCGCGCGCGCGGACGAAGUCCCGGAGCCCAUGUACCGCGCGGAGGUCCGCAACUGAGCACACGAGAUGCAGCUAUACGUACCUACGUGUGCGUACAACUCUACGUGAUGUUGUUCUGCACACGUACGUAUAGUAAGUUGCUGGUAAAUAUGGUCUCUGAUAAAUAAAGUGAGUAACCAUGCAAAAAAAAUAAAAAAAUAAAGUGCGUACGUAUACCGUAUACGUACGAGAGCCCGGUUUGCACUUUGCACAAUGAUCUUGGAGAACACACGCCCCUCUGUGUUCUUGUAUGUAUUAAUACCCCACACUAUAUAUGUUCUCCAUGUAUGUAUCAAAUUCCAUGUUUACAGUUAUGGGAAUAUGUUAUUGUGGAAUAAAAUCAUAGAGGAAUAUAGCCAAAGUUCUACACGGAACACUUAAUUCCUUCUGUAUGCCGUAUUUCAAUGCUGCAAAGAAAAUAGAGGAAGAUAAUAGACAAAGAAAU